rnacentral:lncRNA from 1 species
ACGUUACCGCAAGGGGGAAGGAGAAGACUGGCCUAAGGUAUCUCACAUUCCCAACACAGAUAUUCGAUAAGAAGGAUUCGCGCAUUCGAGAUUUGGCGUUGACAAGUAAUUUCUUCUCUUACUCUGAUUUGCUUUUGUUGUUGUUUUUAAUCUAGUUAAGAAGCAUAAAUAGCAUUUUGAAUCAAGCUGUAUAUCAGAAAUCUGUAAUACAUAUUUUCUAUUAUUCCGAUUUUAAUUUGUGAUUUGGGUAACGUUACUGUAAAACAUUAUUAAUGCAAUAUGAAGGCUGUAAAACAUUAUUAACCUAUUACUGUAAAACAUUAUUACUGUAAAACAUUAUUAACCUAUGUUUAGCUGGCUUUGGAGUUGAGUAAUAACCUUUCGAGGUCGCGCCUAUAAAAUGGCUAAGCUCAAUUUGCCACAGAUUACAUGUAUUGCCAUCAUUGACAAUUUUCUGGAUAAGUGAUGAAGGGUGAGAAUGGUGCUAGAAUAUUGAAUAAAGCUGUCGUGACUGAACUUUGGUUGAUCUCAAAAGAGGUAUAUUAUUGGCAUGCCUAGCUAAUUUGACCACUUCCUGAUUCAUAAGCCUAUAUCAAUUUUGAUUUUGAGUUGAGUGAUUAAUUUUCAAGGUUUGCUUACUUAACCGGUGACCAAUUUCUUGUAACUAAAUGUAUCAUAUGAUGCAGGCAGCAGGGCAGGAUAUGAAAUGAGUAGUUUAUUAGUGGAUGGAUUGCCAGAAACAGAACCCAAAGAAAAUGAAAACAUUUCGAGGCAGCAGUUGGCAGCUGGCAAUGAAUGGAGGCCCUUGAAAAAAUUCCCAAGCCGUUGCACAGCAAUUACGAUCAUCCUCGGCCUCAGGUAAUUUCUUCUCCUGCAUUUUUGUUAUUUGCUAUCAAGUGACUAUUUUAAGUAUGAUUGCAUUAAGCUGCUGCUGGGAAAUUUGAGGUUUUGAUGGCUGCCCAUGCUAUUGUCAGAAGCUGCGGUUCUUUUCAUCAGCCUGAACCUGGACCUGCCGCUAUGGAUAACUCAGAUUUUUUUUUUUUUUUUAAUCAACUGUGUCAUCUUUUCCACUGUUUUGAAACUCUUAAGAUUAAACUUUAGUAAAGUUGUUUUAGUUAUCCAUGUAAUCAGGCUGAGGAUACUUAGCUGCCUAUUUAGGCAAAUGUCAGACUUUAGUUUGUUCGCUGGGAACUGGUGUGGUGACAGCGUCCUGGCAAAGGAUGAUGAGAUAGUUUUUUGAUUGAGUAAAUUUUGGGAGCUUGAGUGUAUUGGGAUUUGCAAUUACAAUCAUCCUCUGCCUCAGGUGAUUUCUUCUCCUGCCCUGUCGUUGUUUGUUCUCUAAUUCAAAAUUAUAAAAUAUUUCAUCAAAUUUUAUGCCAGGAAUAUGCAAAAGUUUCUAAUAUUUUAUUUCCAUCUGUUUGCCUUGAUAACUUUGCAGCAAAUGUACUAGUUAAAGAACAAAUCGAAACAGAGUUCAGUUAAAAGUUUCUUCUGCCGUCAUAUUUGAAAAAUGAACCCAUUUCCAGGAAGCAAUGGGCAGCAAAUUCAUAUAAAGCGUAGACAAUGAUGAGCAAACAGGUGAUUCACAAUUUCACUUUUUUUAAUGAAAUUAAUUGUUUGGUUGGAGCGGACAUUGUUAGAAGGCUAUUGAGCUAACCUAUGUCACUACUUGCCUAGAUUACAGGGGGUCAAAACUCAAAAGCGGCAUUGAAUUUUAAAAGGCAUCCAAUAAUUCUGGCUUUUGUUAUCAACUAUAUCAUCUUUUUCACUAUUUUGAAACUCUUAAGAUUAAACUUUAGUAAAGUUGUUUCAGCUAUUCAAAUGAAAAACUCAUUGAUUUGAGACUUCCUUCAUUAUUGUUUCUAAUUACAAUGCUAACGAUCCAGAUAAGAUAAUAUUUAAUCGGCGAAGGUGUCCCUUGGAAGUACAUCCUUCUUUUUCUUUUGUUAUAUAAAUUCUUGCAAUGAGCUUAGUGAAGCUGUUGUGCUAAUCAUGCCACUGCAUAAUUUGUUCUGCAAAUUCUCCAGAGGUUAAAAUCAAUAAAUUUUCUAUUAGCUCUAGUGCUUUGACUUAAAUGCUAUUCUAUAUUCUGAUUACAAUGUUUUAACCUUUAAAUUAACUACCCCUAGAUGUUGGAUUUUCUAGAACUUCAAAAUGAUUAAUGGAGAAAGAUCCCAUUAUCGUUAUUGCUAUAUGAAAUUGAUUUAUGCAUCCAAAGAUACAUUAUAUAUUUCUGUGUCUCUAUUUAUAGAUGACAUUUAAGCAUCCAUAAACCGUCAGACAGAGGAAGGGGGUUCAGUGCAAAGAUUCUGUUGACCUAGGGUUGACUGCAUAAUGUCACUUGUUCGCAAUCUAUUAUUUAUUUUAUAUUUUGAAGAAUUUAAUGGGUAAUCCUAACUGUUUGUUUUGGCAGGUAUGUGUUGUUAUCUCCUUCUAUCUUACAGUCGUACCUAAAUAGCAUAGUUUCAUCUGUGUUACCAUGUGAUGUACAUAAUUUCACAUUUGCCUCAGAUUAAGCUUAAUUUCCCACAGAAUAGAGCUGUCGCGACUGGACUUAGGUUGAUGUCCAAAGAGGUAAAUUAUUGGCAUGCCUAGAUAAUUUGGCCAUUUCCUAAUUCAUAAGUCUACAUUAAUUUUGAUUUUGAGUUGACUGAUUUCUUUUCAAGGUCUGCUUCCUUAACGGAGUGACCAAUGUUUUUCAACUAAAUUUAUCAUAUGAUGCAGGAAGCAGGGCAGGAUAUGAAAUGAGAAGCUCAUUGGUGGAAGUAUUGCCAGUAACAGAACCCAAAGAAAAUGAAACUAUUUCAAGGCAGCAGUUGGCAGUUGCAAGUGAAUGGAAGCCCUUGACAAAAUUCUCAAGCGGUUGCAAUGCAAUUACGAUCAUCCUCAGCCUCAGGUAAUUUCUUCUCCUGCUUUGUAUUUAUUUGUUAUCUAAUUAGGAAGCGUAAAGUAUCUUGAAUCAUUUUCUGUAUCUGGAAUAUAUGCAAGAGUUUCUAAAAUUUUGAUAUGAGUGUAAUGAUGGUAAUUUCUGAUUUCUGUCUGUCAUCAAAUGUUAGAAAACUUUCAUUGAGACCCUUGAACCGAGUCAUUUUUGACAAGUGAAGUGCUGAAGAGUGAAGAGUAAGAAUGGUGCUAGAUUGGGGAAUAAAGCAAAAGGAGGUAAAUUAUUGGCAGCUUCUUCAACCUUAUUUUCUUUGGACCAGUGCCUAAUUCACAAGUCUCCAUAAUUCGGCUUUUGACCAGUUGAUAGAUAAAAUUUUAAUUUCAUUGGUGCUAAUGUACCCGUGAGGCAGGCAGAGAAGGACUGUGGAAAAGAGAAGGUUUUUAGUGAAAGCUUAAACUCAGGUAAUUCUAAAAAUUAUAUGUUUUGGCUGAUUUAUCUAAAUCAGGAAAUUUUAUUUCCAUCUGUUACAAUAAAACAGAAACAGAACACAAAGAAAAAUAUUCUACUUCUUGUGGCAAUCUUGCCUUCAUUCAGACUAUGAAACCAUUUCCUUUCACCAAUUUCUUCCAAAAGUUUGAACACGUUUCAUGGUUGGACAUAGUUAGCUUCUUUUUCUUUUGGUGCAUUUAGGUGCUAUCAAGUGACAGCCAUAAGUAUGAUUGCAUUAUUAGGAAAUUUUAGGUUUUGAUGGCUCCCCAUGUUAUUGCCAAGAAAUUUUAAGUCCUCAUGUCAGAAGCUGCGUUUCUUUUCAUCAGCCUGAACCCGAACCUGUCACUAUGGAUAACUGAGGUUUUUGUCAUCAACUAUAUCAUCUUUUUCACUGUUUUGAAACUCUUAAGAUUAAACUUCAGUAAAGUUGUUUCAGUUAUCCAUGUAAUCAGGCUAAGGAUAUUUAGCAGCUUAUUUAGGCAACUGCCAGAAUUCAGUUUGUUCGCUCGAAACUUGUAUGGUGACAAGGAUACUGGCAAGGAUAGUGAGAUAAUUUUUUGUGUGAGUGAAUUUUGAAAGCUUGGGUGUUCUGGGAUUUGCAAUUGCAAUCAUCCUCUGCUUUAGGUGAUUUCUUCUCCUGUUCUGUCUUUAUUUUCUCUCUAAUUGAAAGCAUUUCAAUCAAAUUCUGUACCAGGAAUACGAAAAAUUUACUAAUAUUUUAUUUCCAUCUGUUUGCAUUGAUAACUUGGCCGCAUAUGUACUAGUUAAAGAACAAACAGAAGCAGAGUUCAGGAAAAAGUUUCUUCGGCCACCAUAUUUGAAAAUGAAACCAUUUCCAGGAAGCAGUUGGCAGCAAAUUCAUACAAAGUAUAGACAAUGAUGAGCAAAAAGGUGAUUUGCAAUUUCAUUUUUUUAAAAUGAAAUUAUUUGUUAAGUUGGAGCGGAUAUUGUUAGAAGGCCAGAAGGCCACUGAGCCAACCUAUGACACUGCUUGCCUAGAUUGCAGGAGGUCAAGACUCAAAAGAUGCACUGAAUUUUAAAAGGCAUGCAAUAAUUCUUAUGGCCAUUUGUCAAUGGUGGAAUGCUUUUAGCUUCUUUUCCUUUCGUGCAUUUUGGGGUUCUAUCAAGCGACAGCCGUAUGUAUGGAUGGAUAUAGCUGAAGGACAACAUUUGUCCAUGAGGUUCCUAAAAUCGCAACUUUUGUGCAGUAAAAUUAAAACGGACGGCGGAAGCUCUAGAAACCUCGGAUCGGCUUCAUUCAAAAACGAAAAUCAAGAGGAAAGAUUGAAGUUUAAUUACCUCACUUGCAGUUUCGAAAAAGACUUCGUGAGGUAGGAGAAAACGACUGAAAACAGCAAGCUACGAACAUUGUCCAGAAAAUACAGCUCUGCACGAACAGCUUCUGUUUUGCCACGAUCUGAGAUCCUUAAGCACCCCAAUUGUGAUGCCUCUAAUUAUUCCACACUUAGAAAUGUUCUAGGAGUUCAGAGGAUUUGGAAUCACGAAAUUUCGUUUAGAAAUGAGAGAGAUAAUGAUGAAACAUGAAUGCUAGUUCAUGAUGAUUCCCCUUCCACCAAAUAAAGCACCAUUAUGUCUAAUAAUGGCACCAAACAUUAUCAUGUGCUAGACCCACCCACUUAGCUAUAAUUUAUUGAAAGUGAUCUUAUCACUUAAAUAAAUUAUUUAAUCAAAUUAAUAAAUAGCUAAAUUAAUUAAUUUCGUAAUUAAUUAAUUAACCCCAUUUUGAUCAAAUCAAAUGGUUAAAUGUGGGCUCAUUUUGUGACAUGUUCUAAUGCUUUCUCUUAAUCCAUAUUAGAUCCAAUAAAAGCCCAAAAUUCUAAACCUAAAAAUGGUCUAGAAGUCCAUAAUCAUAUAUGAACCCGAACAUGUUCAAAAUGGUCAUUUUACGUGCUCGAUAUUACAUAAUGUUUAAUGGAGGAUUUACGAAAUUUAUUUUGUUCCUUAAACUAUUUAUGGAACAUCUAAAUUUCUAUCUUAAAUCAUAUUUAAGAUAUAUUUAUAUAUAUAUAUUCAUUCUCAAUGAAUUAUAAUAUAAAUAUUGAUUUUCCUAAAAAUAGAAAAUUUAACUUCUCAUUUUUUAGUAACUCCUUUUUCAUUUCUAUUUAGUGUGUGACUUUUUAGGUUCUUAGUUAUAAGGUAGUAGAACUAUUUUAAUGAUAACUCUUUAUUCAUUAAAUGAUGCUAAACUCUUUAGUCAUCAAUUAGAACUCUUCUAAUGACCUUAAGAUGCAUUGAUAAUACGCUUUACCAAUAUUGAUCUUAAGGUUUCUACAAAUCAUGAGUGACACCUAGCAGUAUAUCACAACCAUCCAAAUAACAAGAAUUGUUGGAUCUAUAGAACCUAUUCCAUUGUAUCUCUAUGUCUUGGUCUCUUCAUCAUCCAUGUCUAGAGAAAAGCACGGCUUAUGGUUUAUUAUGUUAAGCACUUAUGCUUUAUCUCAAAAAAAAUCUAAAUGAACUUGACAUGAAAAUAUAAUUUGAACUCCUUCAAAUAUAUUUCACCUUGGCCAAGGAUUUCUCAUGCCAAUUCAUAUUAUCUCAUAGGGACAUCCUUUUUGUAUAUUACAAAGUGAUGAAUUCCAUAUUGGCCAUGCACUAGUCUUCAUACAUAUCCAACCAUGACAGUUAUUGCUAGAUAUCUUCCGUGAUUAGGAAUCAAUCAUUAUGCAUUCACAUAUUAGAGAUGUCUAUGUAUAAGACAUCUGUUAUGCCUCAGGUCUAAAGACCAUUACUAAACAUAGUGUCUAAUACAAUGUAUAAUAAGCCAUUAACACUCAAGACCAUAUGGCUUACUAUAUUUGGUCAAGUUCAGUAAACUUGUUCUCUCAACAAGUACCUAUGUGUUUGACUUGACAUCUCAUGUCAAUGAUAUGAAACUCACCAUCCAUUUUAGUAUCACAUACCAUAAGGAGUCAUAACACAUACUAGUGUUUAUAGGAAUUUAUAAUGUCCAAUCAUAAAUCCACCACUAGGAACUAUUUUAGAAGUAUAGUACAAAGGAUACACGUUUCAUAUUCUCGACAAACUCGAGAAUGUGUUCCUUAACUAUUUUACAUCUUGGACUAUAUUCAUUAAAUUAAUUAAUGAAUAUUGAUAACUUUGCCAUUUUAUAAAUAUCAAAAUGCUAUUCAAAUACGAUAAUUCCCUAAACAAACAAACACCUGAUUGGCCUUUAGGGCAAAUUACUAACAAUAGCUGCUGCGUUGAUUUCUAAUGCGGUGGAGUAAUCGUCGUUAGAAUCUGAAUGAUAUGUCUAAGACGUUGCAUGCAUCAAGAAAAUUGCAGAUGAUUAAACCUUGCCAUCUAUGCGUUGUAUGAGGUUAUAGCAACUAUCUAUCUGGUCACCGUUUUAAAAGAAUAAGACAAAGGGAAAAAGAGAAAGAAAAGAAUGAUUCGACAAUGGCAUUAAAGUUCAACAUACCCCAAGAUCUUGUAAUAAUGCCAUUAAUCAUUCUCUAGCUAGGCUAGCCUUAGAGAAAAGUGAAACUGUUGCACAGGUAGAAUCAAACCCCUCAGAGAUAUGAUGAGUUCGUGAUGCUUGCAUUUUAUUGAUGCUGAUGAUUCGUUGAAUGUUUUAUGUUUUUGAUUUUUAAGUAUUCCGGAUCGAAGUUUGUGUCUACGCGGAAAUUGUAAAGGCAGCAUAUAAAGUACUCGUCGUUCUUUAGAUUUUAUUGAGUACACUUUUGUCACAUUUAGCGUAUGCUAUACACUACUGAUUUGCGCAUUGACAUAUAUCUUAUUUUAUCAUUUUGAAUGAAUUGCACGGCGAGGCUUAUCAACUUUGGAUGAAUCCUCCAAUUGUCACAGUCCAAGACUGGCUGCAGUGAGUGAAAAUUUACCCAUAUAUGUGCUGGCUAUUUUUAUUGGCGACGAAUUCGUUGUAGUUGGUCCAUCUUGCUAUUCUCGGACAAUAUUAGAGAAAAUAAUCAUAUUAUUUCGCGUGAUGUGACCUUCCAUAACUUAUCAAUUGAAUUACUGUAAAAUUAUUGUGUAAGUUUAGGCCCAAUGGCACUUUAGUUCAUCACAUGAUAGCCUGGAUUUAAAAGGAAAACUAUAUUGCAUUGCUUCAAAAAAAAAAUUUAAUGUUUUUAAUAUGAAUAUUUUUAACUAUAUUCAGUUAAAAUAAUAUAUUCUUAAUAUUAAUAUUCAUAGAUGAAAUUCUUUUGCGGAUUUAAGAAUAAAAUAUCAAAUAGUUUUAUUUUUCUUUUGUUGUGUAACUUGGACCGAAAAAGAAAAUGAGCUUAACAUGACCCUCCUUCCGGCACUAUGCAUGUUUUUCUUAUAUUGAUGACAGUGCUCUUGGUGCUUCUCAUCUGCUUCUUGCUUUGGUUUCAAACAAGUCUUUCUCCGUCGAGACAUUUAUUGUAAUUUGAUUUGGAGACAUCUGUCGUUCAAAUAUAUUUCAUAUGCAAGCUGUUGAUAAUUCUGCUUGAGAAAGCCUACAAAGCAGCUGUGUGAUGUAAUAGAAGACUAUAUAUGCAAACGGUCAUCAGUUUCUCUUGAAUUCUUUCUUGAGUUUCUUUGAAUUAUUUGUGAAUGAGUUCUUAAUCGGCUGCUGCUCUUCAGGAAAAGGAAAGUGUUGCAAACUGGUGAAGCUGAUCGAUAAAAGCAAUGUACCAUCUUUGCUGCCAUGGAUCGAUGCCAGUGAGUUUUUUUUAUUUGUCAAACUACUAAUGAGUUCUCCAUGCAUAUGUGUUUCUUCAACUUGAAGCGGCAUAUAAGACGAAAGAAGUGAUCUUUAAAGCAUUCUAUCGCAUUAUCCUUUCCUAUUAUAUAUAUCCAAUUGCUCCAAAUUAUUUGUAAAUUACUGAACACGAAUGCUGAUGAAUAAACUGAUCGCUCUAUGUAUGUAUGCACAUGCAUGGAGAAAUUUUAAGUCAGACAUUCUCAUAUAUAACUCUUGGUACCAAAUCAUCAAAUAAAUCUUGAAAUCAAAGUAAUAAUUAAAUACAAAUAAAUUGCUCGAAUUGUACAUAUAUCUGAAUCAUGUAGUGAAGAAAAUACAACAACAACAACCAAUGGCUCAAAUCCCCCAUCAACCUCUGGUCUCAACACUUUUGAGUGUCAGAAGCAUUACUCUGUUACCAGUUAACAAACAUAUAAUUAGUAAUUUGCCAUUCACUUCCCUUUUAGGCCUAACACAUUUUCUAUAAAGGAGCCACAGAGUGAACUCAGCAGGAAACACUCAAUUUCAACCUACGUAGGACCAGGAAUUUCAACCAAAAAAAAAGUGUGCAAUUGCUUAUCCUAUCCUAUUGCUACUAGAAAGAAAGUGAACAAUUAAUUUCAGUGAAUAAAUUAAAAAAAAAAAUUACUUCUGCAGAUACUCAAGCUAAGAACACAUUAACCCAUUAAAGACUCCAAAUUGCAUCAAACAAAUUGUUGUUAAACAAGUAAAACAAAGAAAGAGAGUUAAGGAAGCUGACCUAGUAGUAGGGGAGCUGAAGAAAGACUGCCAGUGAAUGUAAGAGAAAAUAAAAUGCAAGAAAUGGUGAAGUGCAGCUUUUCAUGUCAACUUGAAAUUGUUUCUUCUGUUUUUUUUUUUAAUCUUUUGGAUUUUUAAAACAAAGAAAAUGAGGAGCAACCAGGGAGAUAAAAAGGGCGCCAAGGCAACUGUGUGUUGGGUUUAGAGCCAAAAAAAAAAAGAAGAAUAAGACAUCGUGUUCUUGUGGAGACCAGACCUAUUACGUAACGUCCCCUUCAAUACCACUUGUUCCGUAUCUGGUUUUUUCUUCGUCUUUUACAUAUUUAUCCUGUGAUUUUACAAUAACUAAAUAAUCCCCCCAUAGUUUGCAAUUUUAUUCAUUUGAGCCCUACAGAUUUCAGUAAUAGGAAUUAUUAAGGGACGAGCGCAAAACAGAAACUCUGUCCACUACUGAUGAUAUAACAACGAACCUUUGUUUUUUUCUUUUUUUUAAAAAAAAAAAAGAGUAACAAAAUAUCAUUAGACAAAUGAAAAUAUUAUCUAACAUCACCUUACUGAUGAUAUGAAAAUAUGUAUGUAUGUAUGUAUGUAUAUACAUAUGUAUGUAUGUACAUAUAUGCAUACAUCUGUUACAUUUCAUCUUUGCACAAUUACACGUAAAAUUCCACUAAAAGAAACUCUUGAGUUGCUCGCAAGCUAUAUAUCAUUAUCCAUUGAAUUCUUACCACAUACAUCUCACCUUUCAAUCAAUCACAUAAUAAUCAAUAUACAUAUUGUAAGAAUUCAACAAAUGGAGAACAUAAUAUACUAUAAAAGCAUCCAAAAUUUUUCCAUCUCAAAUUAUUACUAAACUUCUUGAACAAGUUGAAGAUUGGGGGGAAAAAGUGCAAGAAGGAAAAGCAUUAUUCUACUAGCUUCUAGGUUUCUCAUUUGAACAGAAAAAUUAAAUAAGAUAUUUGUGUAUGGCUGUAGUACUACACGGUAUCUGCUAGAAAGCAAAAUACCUUCUGCUGAUUGCACAUUGGAAUGGGAAUAAGUUGGUAAAUAUAUAAGUUACAUAAAUUAUUUUGGAUAAUUCUGCUGGUGAAUUAAUUAUCUUAAAAUCACCCUUUUAUUUUUUAAAAAAUCUUAAGUUAUUUUUCAUAUAUCUUAAGAAGACAAACAAACUUUCAUCAACUCUCCUUUUUCAGCUUUUCCCUUCAAUAAUGUUAGAAAUUCUAACAUUUGAGUCCUGCUUGAUCUUAAUACUAUAUAUCACUCAUUUAUUAGAUGAUGAAUUUUUUAAAUUAUAAAGUUAUUUGACUACCAUCCAAUGAAUGAAUGUCACGUCAUUUAAAACUCAAAGAAAAGUAUUCUACUUCUUGCGGCAAUCAUGCCUUCAUUCAGACUAUGAACCAUUUCCUUUCACCAAAUUCUUCAUAAACAUUGAGUAAGUUUCAUGGUUGGACAUAGUUAGCUUCUGUUUCUUUUGGUGCGUUUAGGUGCUAUCAAGUGACGGCCGUAAGUAUGAUUGCAUUAUUGGGAAAUUUUACGAUUUGAUGGUUCCCCACGUUAUUGCCAAGAAAGUUCUCAUGUCGGAAGCAGCGGUUCUUUUCAUCAGCCUGAACCCGAACCUGUCGCUAUGGAUAACUCAGGUUUAACAUCAGCAGGAAACACUCAAUUUCAACAAAAAAAAAAAGUGUGCAAUAGCUUAUCCUAUCCUAUUGCUACUAGAAAGAAAGUGAACAAUUAAUUUCAGUGAAUAAAUUAAAAAAAAAAAUCACUUCUGCAGAUACUUAAGCUAAGAACACAUUAACCCAUUAAAGACUCCAAAUUGCAUCAAACAAAUUGUUGUUAAACAAGUAAAACAAAGAAAGAGAGUUAAGGAAGCUGACCUAGUAGUAGGGGAGCUGAAGAAAGACUGCCAGUGAAUGUAAGAGAAAAUAAAAUGCAAGAAAUGGUGAAGUGCAGCUUUUCGUGUCAACUUGAAAUUGAUUUUUCUGAAUUUUUUUAAGCUUUUGGAUUUUUCAAACAAAGAAAAUGAGAAGCAACCAGGGAGAUAAAAAGGGCGCCAAAGCAACUGUGUGUUGGGUUUAGAGCCAAAAAAAAAAAAAAGGAUUAAGACCUAUUACGUAACGUCCCCUUCAAUACCACUUGUUCCGUAUCUGGUUUUUUCUUCGUCUUUUACAUAUUUAUCCUGUGAUUUUACAAUAACUAAACAAUCCCCGUAUAGUUUGCAAUUUUAUUCAUUUGAGCCCUACAGAUUUCAGUAAUAGGAAUUAUUAAGGGACAAGAGCGCAAAACAGAAACUCUGUCCGCUACUGAUGAUAUAACAACGAACCUUUGUUUGUUUGUUUUUUUUUUAAAAAAAAAAGAGUAACAAAAUAUCAUUAGACAAAUGAAAAUAUUAUCUAACAUCACCCUACUGAUGAUAUAACAACGAACCUUUGUAGUUUCUGCCUGUUAAUAUGAAUUGAUCGGGAGUGUUUCCUCACUUAAAAAUUACGAAUUUACAAAAUAUGUACGUAAGUAUGUAUGUAUGUACGUACGUAUAUAUGUAUGUACAUAUAUGCAUACACCUAUGUAACAUUUACUUAUCCAUUCUUUUGAGUUUAAAUCUUAAUACACAUUUUCAUGAAAUUUUUAUUUUAUUAAGUAUACAACUACAUACAACUACAUUAAUGUAUAUAUUUUUUACAUAAGACAUGCCGUCCUAUUAUUCAUAAGUAAACAAUGUGUUGUAAAUAGUAUUCUGUGUUUUCUCAAAGUUGACUUUUCGUCUUUUAUUUUCAGACGCAGACGAUACGUCAUUUUGUAAUCUUCAAAACAUAUACACAGCAGAAUUGGUGUUAUCUGAUUUUGUGAUGCAAUAAGAUUUGCACUUCCUGUGCAUUCAAUGGAAUCAUUUCUUUGUAACUAAUUGGGUGGUGGAAUGGUGGUCAAAUCUCGAACGAAGACAGAUCUAUCAAACUCCAGAAACAGGGAAACCAUGCCACGCUAGUAGACAAUAUGCUAGUUUGAACAAACUUGUUUGAAUGGCAAAAACGACAUGACCUGCUGUAGUAUUAGUUCUUUCCCGAACCAACGGGUGAUUUGCUACGUUGGAUCAUGAAAAUUGAAAAAAAAAAUUAACCAAAAUAAAAAUUCUUAAGGAAUUAGUUAGUUAAUUGAUUGAUCGAAUUUAAUCUAAAUUUGAAAAUGAUAAGAUAAAUUUAAAUUUAUUAUUAUAAUUAUUAUUUUAAACUGGGGUGGGUUUAUACAAUUUGAGCGGUGGAAAUAUCACUACUGAAUUAUUAAAUAUACAGUGUAAAAUUUUGACCUUUAAAAUAUUCCUGUUUUUUUAUUUAGCAUCUAUAAGUUAAAAAAUUUAACAUUGUACCUCAAUAAUUAAAUACAUUUAACUUUAAUCUUCAAAUAGUUACCUACAACAUUUGGACCUAAAUUUUUAAUCCGAUUCGGCCCCUGAUCCAAGUGGGAAGAAGAUCAGGCUUAUACCUAUCACCAACGUAACAUCUUCUGGAAAAUAAUAAGAUUAUUCACCUGCAAUUAUGUGAUCAAACUAAUGGUAACCAAAAUAGAAUAGCGUUAUUUGAGUCCCCUUUCAGUUUCUUUAUCAUUUUUCUUUUCCUAUUUAUAAGCUUAAUUCGGUUCAAAAUCGGCUAAUUCACUUUAAUAAGUUUAUUGGUUUGAACGCUGUUUCCUUUCGUGCAUUUUGGUAUGCUAUCAAGUGACAGUCGUAUGUAUGGUUUGCAUAUAGCUGCUGCUGGGAAAUGUGAGGAUUUCAUGGCUGGCCGUGUUAUUGUCUUAAAUUAGAUGUGAUAAGCUGUUGCUUGGAGAUUCUGUCACCAAGACUUUGCUCACAUCAGAAGCUGUGGAACCUCAACCCUUCUCUAGAUAUCAUCUUUUUCAUUGUUUUAAAACUCUCAGGAUUAAACUUGAGUAAAUUUUUCGGUUGUCUAUAUAAUCAUGUAUUGAGUAAACUCUCAGGAUACUGAGCAGGCAAAUGCCAUAACUCGGUUUGUUCUUCAAAAACUUGUUUAAGAUUCUUGACAAAGCUGCAUGAAGUGAAUCUUGGGAGCUUUGAGGGUGAGAGAAAUUAGAGGGUGUAUAGGGAUUUGGGUUUAUUAGGAAGUUAUAUAUGUAUUUCGUCACUUAUCAUUAUCAUUUUUAUUUUCACAGAAAACCUUCUGAUGGUGCUAAAUUUUCAAACACCGGUCCGAUUCAAAACUUCAUAUUCCAAUUAUAUUCAUAAGACAAAUGGAACACUUUGAACGGCUAGUGUCCGAGCAUUGUAGUUUGAUUUAUUUUGAUGAAAGUACCUUUUGACAUUGAGAUUCUUUCAUGAUUUAAACAUUCUUUUUUAAACCAAAUUAUUAAAAAAAGUAACUAACAUAUAUUAUUUUAUUAGUGCUUUUUAAAUCAAAUGUACAUAGGAGAACUGUAAUUCUUAUCAAUCAAUUUUCCACUAAAUACACCUGCAACAAACUAUUAAUAACAAAGUGAUAGAAAAUACCUGAUUUUUCAUACCUUUUUAAUUUCUUUUGGUCCUAAAAUAUGGGCAUUUGUGUAAUAAUACGCCCAUGUGGAUCUCUAUGCCAUGAGUUUGAUAAAUAGCUAUCAAGGAUCACAUAUUAAGCUAAAAAUAUUUGGAGGACAAAAUUGUAAAACUAAAAGGGUGGAGCAAAUAUGGCUAUCUAGGAUUAAAUAGUAAGUCAACUAUAUUUAAAGGAUAAAAUAUUAAAACUUGAACUGUGAUAUUAAAAAUAUCUCAACUAUUGUAUUAUUAAACCAUAUGUUCUAAUAGUUUUUUUUUUAAGCUUCAAAAUGUUCAGAAUUUUAGAUUGAAACAUUUUCAUUUGAAAUUAUUUGGUGCAGUCACAAGUUAAGAAAGAAAAAGUUGUCCCAUUGGUCAUUUCACAAAAAUGAAAGCCCUGUAUAACAUGGACUUGAAUGGAAGCCCAAUUGUUUGUGUUUGAUUAAUUGAUUUCAAGCUUUAUCGAACCUUUGGAUCUGGAUAUUUUACUGGAGUAAUGAUACAGACACAAACUUUUGUACAAAUUUAUUUUGUACAAACUGAUGUGGCAUGAUAAGAUUGGUUGAAUUAAAUAUCACUUGCCCCACAUGAUUUGUUUUUAUUAAUUUAUAUUUUCAUUCAACCAAUGAAAUCAUGCCACGUCAGUUUGUAUAAAAUAAGUUUGUACAAGAGUUUGUGGCUGUAUCAUUACUCUAUUUUACUGCGGCCUCUAAGCGCUAUAAAUUUUUUUGGGGAUAAACAGCGCUUCAAUGAGGGCAUCUCCAGUGCUUAACACUAUUUUGGUGUAACACCAAUAUUAAAAAUAUAUAUUUUUCACACUAAAUUACUAUUUCAUCUCCAACCUAUUUACACCAAAUUUUAUACCAAAAAAAAUAUUUUUCUUUUUAUUCUUUUAAUUCUCAAGAAUUAAUUCAAUUAACACAAUAAAUUACUAUUAAUAUAGAUAAUUAAGUAAUAAGUAAUUUGAUCAAUUAACAAAAAAAAUAGAAAAUUAUUAAAUUUGCAUUUAAUUAACUAAAUUAGUACAUUAUGAAAAUUAAACAUUACAUUAAUAUAGAAAAAUACAAUAACAAUAAUAAUAAUUUUAUAUCUAAUAUUUUGAUGAUAUUGGAGGAUCUAAUAAUGAUCUUCCAGAUUAUUAAUUUUUUAUUUUUAACUUUGUAAUAUGUAAUAUAGUAAUUAAUGUUAUUGGCAUUUUAUUUUUAUUAUUAAUUUUUGUGUUGAAUAUUUUUUAUUUAAAAUAUUAGUAUAAUAUUCAAAAAUUAAAAAAAAUGAAAUAAAAAUAACAACAAAAAUAAUAAUAAUAAUAAUAACUUAAAAUAUUAUAUAAAAAAGGACAUAUAUGUAAAUAAGAAAAAGUAAUAAAGAUAUUUAGGACUCUUUUUUCCUAGCACCAAAUGAAUAGUGUUACACCAUAUUUGGUGCAAUACUAUUCAUAACACCAAUUUGCUGUUCGUUUUGAUGUUACAUUGGAGAAGCAUUUUACACAAAAAAUGGUGUAAAAGGUAGUUUGGUGUUAGUUUUGGUGUCACAUUGGAGAUGGCCUGGAAAAACACUUGAAAACUUUGGAUUUUUGGUUCGUCCAGUUACGGUGUUAUGCUAAUGGGGUUAAAAGUUCCGAUCCAAUGAGUUAGGAUGGAAUAUGAAUAUAUAAAUUCCAUAGCAUGUAAGGACUAGGAUUUGUUUGUUCAUAUCAAGAAAAAAAAGAUCCGAAAAUUUGAUGAUCAGAAGAUGAAGACACGUUUAUUACAGAGAAACAAACGACAACAUGAUACUAGUAGUAGUUAUUCUUUUCAUCCGAUAUAUUACAUGGUAAUAUCACUACUCGUUCCACUGGUUUCAUAUACACCAUCGAUCAGCAACAUGAUAAUUUUGUGUCAGUUCAUUUUGUUUGUAGGAAAGAGCAGUGUAUUUCUUAGAGCUUGAAAAUAAUAAAAAGAUUUUAAAAUAUAAAUUGCAUAUUUGUUUAUUACAGUUGUUUGGUCUAAUUUCUUAUGUAGAAUUGCUUGUCAUUCUUUGGACGUUAUUGAUUAUAUUUUUGUCAGACUUGGCGUAUAUAUUCACACAUACGUUUUAUUUUGUCAUUUUGUAGAACAUUUUUACACGCCAUAUUAUCACGACUCUUCUCUGUCUGAAUAAGAAGAAAGCAUAAUGCGACCCUCCAAUAGCUUAAUCUAUGGAAUUAUCGUGUUUUGUAAGUUGAGGUCCAAUGGCGUUUUGGCACAUCAUAUGAUAGCCCACUAUAUUGCGUUGCUUUACAAAAGAUUAAUAUUUUGAAAAUUAUUAGGUAAGUUUAGGCUCAGUGGCACUUUAACUCAUGAUAUGAUUGUCCAGGUUUUCGAGGACCACUAUAUUCUAUUGAUUUAAAAAAAAUUAAUAUUUUUUAAUAUUAAUAUUCUAAAUUAUAUUCAGUUCAAAUAUUAAAUAUUAAAUACAUUCUUAAUAUUAAUAUUCUUAGAUGAAAUUCUUUUGCUGACUUAAGAAUAAAAUAUUAAAUAAUUUUAUUUUUCUUUUAUUCUGUAACGUGGACCCAAUAAAAAAAGGAAAUGAAUUUAAUAAAACCUUCAUUCAAAAUCUUCAUUCCGCCACCAUGCAUGUUAAUUGUUUCCAAAUUCCAACCUCCGUACUCUCUUGAGGAGUUUCCCAUUCAUCAAUUAUUAUUUUUUAUAAUCCAUACCAUCCUGAUAUAAUUAAACACCAUUAAUAAUGUACCAACCUUUAAAUAGUAAUUAAUUUAUUUAUCUAAUUCACCAAAUGUUUUUUCCGGUACAUAUCUCCAUUGGUAUCAAGAAGAAGCAGAACCCAAAGAAAUGUUUCUUGCAUCUUCAUAUUUGUGCGAAUUCAUCCUUUCAUUGAGAAUAACCAUUUCCAGGCAGCAGUUGGCAAUCAAUUCAUGCGCACGUCGAUGCUAUUCAUAGAUACUAAAGACAAUGAUGAACCAAAGGUGAUAAAUCAUAAAUGCAUAAUUACCAAACCUCCAUCCUUCUCUCAUUAUGAUUUGAUUUUAAAUGAAUUAUUGCUUGGUAACAUUAUUUCCAACCAUUGCAAGACCCUUUUUUUUGGAGAAAUUUCAAUUGAAAGUGAAACCUUUAGACAUUUACCUAAUGAAGUUAGUUAAUCGGGAGGGUCGGAAAAAAAAAGUUGACGCAAGUCAAUACACAAUAAUCAAUUAAAUCCGGAGUGACUAAAACAGAGCCACUACUUUUUUAAAAAUAUCUGCAUUCAUCACUUUCUCCAGCAACUAGUCAGCUACACACGAAUCAAUUUCUCUCCUCGUUUGUCAUCCAAAAUUAUUCACCAAUACCAUGGCUGAUGCAAUCGUUUCCACUAUCUUGGAGCAGCUGAUUUCCUUCGCUGCUGAAGAGAUAAAACAACAGGUGAUCGAAGUUUCACCCCUCAUAUUACAAAUACUUCCAAUGAUUUUAAUUGGCUUUGUUUUUAUCAAAAACAUUAUAUAUUUUUGCUUUUUUUUUAUUUAUCUGAUAAUUUUAUAUUUUGAAAUUUGAAUUGAAUUUAAUUAAAAGGUGAUGUAGUAACCACUCAUUUUUAUUUUAUUUCAUUUCUAUUCUCGAUAACUAACCAUAUUUUGGUAACUUAAUAUGACUCUCGUACAUAAGAAAUGAUCAAAACCCACAAUUUUAACUAUGUAUAAAUAUUCAACGUUGAGCUAAGGUUUUGCAGAACAUUCAAGUUUAUCAAAUAGUCAUUAAUUUAAUGUUUUAGUAAAACCUCAACUCAUCACUGAAUCCCAUAGCUAUUACUUAGACUCUAUGAAAAAUUUCAUAGUUUUCUUACGUUCUUUCAGUUUGGUAAGUGAUUUCAUAUAAUUUCUGUUCAAUAUAAAUUUUAAUUUGGUUUCUUAUAUACUCUCUUUGCUGAAUUUGUAUCUUUUAUGAUUCUUAGAUUUUGGGCUCUAACAUUUUAGGAUUUGAUAGUCACAUUUUAUGCCAUGCUUAGAUUGAUUUUCAUGAUUUUUACUACCCAUUAAGUGACUUAGAAUUUGACAAAAGUUUGAAAGGAAAUCUGCUUCAGGAUUCUGUUUUAAUUGACCUUUUAGUGGAAAUAGGAUGCUUAUAACUUAAUGUGGAUGGUUCGUAAAAUCAUGAAAUUUGGAUAGAAUUAACUAGAAAUAUGUACAAGACUCUCCAUGAAGUCUCAUAAUUUUUCAUUCGGUCUGGGGUGGUACAGGUGAAACUUGUGGUUGGUGUUGAAAAAGAAGUGAAAAGCCUUACCAGCCAUCUUCAAGCCAUUCAAGUUGUGCUCGAUGAUGCAGAGGAAAAGCAAGUGAAGGAAAAAGCUGUUAGUCUUUGGCUGGGUAGGCUCAAGUAUGCAUCCUACGACAUUGAAGAUGUGUUGGAUGAGUGGAUCACAACAAGACGCAAAUUGCAAAUUGAGGGUGGCAUUGGUGAAAAUGCUCUUGUUGUUCCUCAUAAGAAAAAGAAGGUAUGUCUCUGCUUUCCCGGCUCUUGUUUUGGAUUCAAACAAGAAGAAUUUGGUUUCAAACAAGUCUUUCUCCGUCAUGACAUUGCCGACAAGAUCAAAGAAAUCAAUGAAGAGCUACAUGAUAUUGCCGCUCAAAAAGACAUGUUUGAUCUUGUUAAGAGUGGCAAUAAAAGUAGUGAAAGACCAAGGCGUGUACAGAGUACCUUCUUGAUUGAUGAGGAAGAGAUUUGUGGCAGAGUUGGUGAGAGGAAUGAACUCUUAAGCAAGCUGUUGUGUGAGAGUAGCGAGCAACAAAAAGGCCUUCAUAUCAUCUCAAUCGUUGGUAUGGGAGGCAUAGGGAAAACAACUCUUGCACAACUAGCUUGUAAUCAUGACGAGGUGAAGAGAAAGUUCGACAAAAUUCUGUGGGUGUGUGUAUCAGAAACUUUUGAGGAGUUUAGGGUUGCCAAAGCGAUCGUUGAAGUUUUGGAUGGUCGUGAAUCUCAUUUAGCUGAAUUCCAUUCUCUUCUUCAACAUAUUUAUGAAUCCAUUGCAGGGAAGAGCUUUCUUCUUGUCUUAGAUGACGUGUGGGAUGGAAAUUACUUGAAAUGGGAACCAUUCUACCGUUGUCUAAAGAAUGGUCUCCAUGGAAGUAAAAUUUUAGUUACCACACGUAAAGGGUCAGUCGCAUCCAUGAUGGGAUCCAUAGAUAUUAUCUCCGUUAAGGAGUUAGCUGAAGAGGAAUGUUGGUUGUUGUUUAACAAGAUAGCAUUUUUUGAUCGGUCCAUCGAGGAACGUGAAAAAUUAGAACAAAUUGGGCAAAGAAUUGCAGGCAAGUGCAAAGGUUUACCUCUUGCAGCAAAGACAAUAGGGAGUCUCAUGCGUUCUAAACAAACUGAAGAAGAGUGGAAAAGAAUUUUAAAUAGUGAUUUAUGGAAAGUAGAAGAGAUUGAGAAAGAUGUUUUGUCCUCUUUAUUGUUGAGUUAUAAUGAUUUGCCAUCUAGAGUAAAAAGAUGUUUUUCAUAUUGUGCUGUCUUUCCAAAAGACUACAAUAUAGAAAAAGACAAACUAAUCACGUUAUGGAUGGCUCAAGGUUAUCUUAGUGCAGAAGAAGAUGAAGAGAUGGAGACAGUAGGUGAAGAGUAUUUUGGCAUCUUAGCUUCUCGCUCAUUUUUUCAAGAGUUUAAGAAAAGUUAUGAUAAUCGAAUUAUAGAGUGUAAGAUGCAUGAUAUGGUACAUGAUUUUGCCCGAUUUGUAAGUCAAAAUGAAUGUUUUUCGAUGGCAAUUAAUGGUAGUGAAGAACCAAACGCCACAAACUCUCUUGAUGAGAAGGUCCGUCAUUUAAUGUUAAUCUUUAGUAUAGAGGCUUCAUUACCUGUUUCCACUUGUAGAGUUAAAAGAAUUCGUAGCCUCUUAAUUAACGAUAGUAGAUCUGAUCAUUCAUUAUUAAAUGGUGAGAUCCUAGAAGAAUUAUUUAGGGAAUUGACAAGUUUAAGGGCAUUAGAUUUUUGCAAAUCGUAUAACGCAAGUUGGUUUUCGACUCUGGAGAUUCCGAGAAACAUAGAAAAGCUGGUACAUUUAAGAUACCUUAAUUUGUCUUAUCAGGGAAUAAAGAAACUACCGGAGACAUUAUGCAAGUUGUAUAAUCUAGAAAAGUUAGAUAUUAGUUAUUGUUAUAAGCUAGAAGAAUUACCUGAAGGGAUUGGGAAGUUAAUAAACAUGAAGCAUUUACGAAAUAGAGGUACUAGUUCUUUAAGGUACAUGCCAGUAGGGAUUGGGAGAUUAACGGGUCUUAGGACCUUGGGUGAGUUCCACGUUAGUGCAGGAGGAGGUGUUGAUGGUAGGAAAGCAUGUAGGCUUGAAUCUCUUAAAAACUUGGAACACCUUCAAGUAUGUGGUAUAAGUAGACUGGGUGAUGUAUCAGAUGUGGGCGAGGCUAAGCGAUUAGAACUUGACAAAAAGAAAUACCUCUUCAGUUUGACCCUUGAGUUUGAUAAGACGGAAAGAGGAGGAGAAAGGAGGAAGAACGAGGACGAUCAACUUCUUCUUGAAGCCUUGCGACCACCCCUGGAUUUAAAGGAAUUAGAGAUACGGUACUACCGAGGCAACAUUGUUUUCCCCAGCUGGAUGGCGUCAUUAACCAACUUAAAGAGUUUACAUCUCCAUAGGUGCGAAAAUUGCGAGCAGCUGCCUCCUUUGGGAAAAUUGCCGUCCGUUGAAAAUCUCUACAUAUGGCGCAUGGAGAGUGUGAAGAGAGUGGGUGAUGAAUUUUUGGGGAUAGAAAGUGAUCAUCAUGACUCAUCGUCAUCUUCAUCAGUUACUAUUGCCUUCCCCAAAUUGAAAUCACUCACAAUUUAUUCGAUGCUGGAAUUGGAGGAGUGGGAUUAUGAGAUUACAAGAACAGGAAACACCGUCAUAAACAUCAUGCCACGUCUUUCUUCCUUGACAAUUGUUGAUUGCACCAAAUUAAAGGCACUGCCCGGCCACAUUCAUCAAACGACAACGUUGAAGGAAUUGAGCAUUUUUAUGUGUUGGCUUCUGAACAAACGUUACCGCAAGGGGAAAGGAGAAGACUGGCCUAAAAUAUCACACAUUCCCAACCUCCGUAUUGGGCUUUGACAAGUAAUUUCUUCUCUCACUCUGAUUUGCUUUGUUGUUGUUUUUAAUCUAAUUAAGAAGCGAAAAUAGCAUUUUGAAUCAAACUCUAUAUCAGAAAUCUGCAAUACUUACUUUCUAAUAUUCUGAUUUUCAUAUCCUAUGAAUAUACGAUUUUUAAUUUGUGAGAUGGGUAACGUUACUGUAAAAGAUUAUUAAUGCAAUAUGAGUAAUUCUUUUGCAGGACAAGUGACCUACAUUUAGUUUGGCUUUGGAGUUGAAUAAUAACCUUUCGUGGUCCCGACAACCAAAAAACAAAGCUUAAUUUGCCACAGAUUGAACGUAUUGCCAUUAUUGACAAUUUUCUGCACAAGCGUGACUGAACUUAGGUUGAUGUCAAAAGAGGUAAAUUAUUGGCAUGCCUGACUAUUUUGACCAUUACAUGAUUCAUAAGUUUACAUUAAUUUUGAUUUUGAGUUGAGUGAUUAGUUUUCUAGGUUUGCUUACUUUAACUGGGUGACCAAUUUCUUGUAACUAAAUGUAUGAUGUGAUGCAGGAAGCAGGGCAGGAUAUGAAAAGAGAAGCUUAUUAGAGGAAGGAUUGCCAGUAACAGAAUCCAAAGAAAAAGAAACCAUUUCGAGGCAGCUGUUGGCAGUUGGCAGUGAAUGGAGCCCCUUGAAAAAAUUCCCAGGCCGUUGCACUGCAAUUACGAUCAUCCUCGGCCUCAGGUAAUUUCUUCUCCUGCAUUUUUGUUAUUUGCUAUCAAGUGACUAUUUUAAGUAUGAUUGCAUUAAGCUGCUGCUGGGAAAUUUGAGGUUUUGAUGACUGCCCAUGCUAUUGUCAGAAGCUACGGUUCUUUUCAUCAGCCUGAACCUGGACCUGCCGCUAUGGAUAACUCAGAUUUUUUUUUUUUUAAUCAACUGCGUCAUCUUUUCCACUGUUUAGAAACUCUUAAGAUUAAACUUUAGUAAAGUUGUUUUAGUUAUCCAUGUAAUCAGGCUGAGGAUACUUAGCUGCCUAUUUAGGCAAAUGUCAGAAUUUAGUUUGUUCGCUGGGAACUGGUGUGGACUGGCAAAGGAUGAUGAGAUAGUUUUUUGAGUGAGUAAAUUUUGGGAGCUUGAGUGUAUUGGGAUUUGCAAUUACAAUCAUCGUCUGCCUCAGGUGAUUUCUUCUCCUGCUCUGUCAUUGUUUGUUCUCUAAUUCAAAAGCAUAAAAUAUUUCAAUCAAUUUUUAUGCCAGGAAUAUGCAAAAGUUUCUAAUAUUUUAUUUCCAUCUGUUACAAGAUCAAACUGAAGCAGAACUCAAGUAAAAGUAUGCUACUUCUUGCGGAAAUCUUGCCUUUGUUCAGAUUAUGAAACCAUUUCCAUGCAGCAAAUUCAUCCAAAAGUUUGAGUAAGUUUCAUGGUUGGACACUGUUGGCUUCUUUUUCUUCUGGGGUGCAUUUAGGUGCUAUCAAGUGACAGCUGUAAGUAUGAUUGCACUAAGCUGCCGCUGGGAAAUUUGAGGUUUUGAUGGCUACCCAUGUUAUUUUCAAGAAACUAUUGAUGUAAGAAGCUGUGGUUCUUUUCAUCAGCUUGAACCUGAAACUGUCGCUAUGGAUAACUCAGGUUUUUGUUAUCAACUAUAUCAUCUUUUUCACUAUUUUGAAACUCUUAAGAUUAAACUUUAGUAAAGUUGUUUCAGCUAUUCAAAUGAAAAACUCAUUGAUUUGAGACUUCCUUCAUUAUUGUUUCUAAUUACAAUGCUAACGAUCCAGAUAAAAUAAUAUUUAAUCGGCGAAGGUGUCCCUUGGAAGUACAUCCUUCUUUUUCUUUUAUUAUAUAAAUUCUUGCAAUGAGCUUAGUGAAGCUGUUGUGCUAAUCAUGCCACUGCAUAAUUUGGCCCCUAAUGUGGGUACUCUGUUACAUUGUUCUGCAAAUUCUCCAGAAGUUCAAAUCAAUAAAUUUUCUAUUAGCUCUAGUGCUUUGACCUAAAUGCUAUUCUAUAUUCUGAUUACAAUGUUUUAACCUUUAAAUUAACUACCCCUAGAUGUUGGAUUUUCUAGAACUUCAAAAUGAAUAAUGGAGAAAGAUCCCAUUAUCGUUAUUGCUAUAAGAAAUUGAUUUAUGCAUCCAAAGAUACAUUAUAUAUUUCUGUGUCUCUAUUUAUAGAUGACAUUUAAGCAUCCAUAAACCGUCAGACAGAGGAAGGGGGUUCAGUGCAAAGAUUAUGUUGACCUAGGGUUGACUGCAUAAUGUCACUUGUUCGCAAUCUAUUAUUUAUUUUAUAUUUUGAAGAAUUUAAUGGGUAAUCCUAAUUGUUUGUUUUGGCAGGUAUGUGUUGUUAUCUCCUUCUAUCUUACAGUCGUACCUAAAUAGCAUAGUUUCAUCUGUGUUACCAUGUGAUGUACAUAAUUUCACAUUUGCCUCAGAUUAAGCUUAAUUUCCCACAGAAUAGAGCUGUCGCGACUGGACUUAGAUUGAUGUCCAAAGAGGUAAAUUAUUGGCAUGCCUAGAUAAUUUGGCCAUUUCCUAAUUCAUAAGUCUACAUUAAUUUUGAUUUUGAGUUGACUGAUUUCUUUUCAAGGUCUGCUUCCUUAACGGAGUGACCAAUGUUUUUCAACUAAAUUUAUCAUAUGAUGCAGGAAGCAGGGCAGGAUAUGAAAUCAGGAAGCUCAUUGGUGGAAGUAUUGCCAGUAGCAGAACCCAAUGAAAAUGAAACUAUUUCAAGGCAGCAGUUGGCAGUUGCAAGUGAAUGGAGGCCCUUGACAAAAUUCUCAAGCGGUUGCAAUGCAAUUACGAUCAUCCUCAGCCUCAGGUAAUUUCUUCUCCUGCUCUGUUUUUAUUUGUUAUCUAAUUAAAAAGCAUAAAGUAUCUUGAAUCACUUUCUGUAUCUGGAACAUAUGCAGCAGUUUCUAAAAUCUUCAUAUGAGUGUAAUGAUGGUAAUUUCUGUUUUUUGUCUGUCAUUGAAUGUUAGACAACUUUCAGUGAGACUCUUGAACCGAGACAUUUUUGACAAAUGAAGGACAAUUGCUGAAGAGUGGGAAUGGUGCUAGAUUGGGGAAUAAAGACAAAGGAGGUAAAUUAUUUGCAGUUUAUUCAGCAUUAUUUGCUUUGGACCAGCGCCUGAUUCACAAGUCUCCAUAAUUUGGCUUUUGACCAGUUGUUAAUAAAUUUUUUUAUUCCAUUGGUGCUAAAUGUACACGUGAAGCAGGCAGAGCAGGACUGUGGAAAUGAGAAGGUUUUUAGUGAAAGCUUAAACUCAGGUAAUUCUAAAAAGUACAUGUUUUUGCUGAUUUAUCUAAAUCAGGAAAUUUUAUUUCCAUCUGUUACAAGAUAAAACAGAAACAGAACACAAAGAAAAAUAUUCUACUUCUUGUGGCAAUCUUGCCUUCAUUCAGACAAUGAAACCAUUUCCUUUCACCAAUUUCUUCCAAAAGUUUGAAUAAGUUUCAUGGUUGGACAUAGUUAGCUUCUUUUUCUUUUGGUGCAUUUAGGUCCUAUCAAGUGACAGCCAUAAGUAUGAUUGCAUUAUUGGGAAAUUUUAGGUUUUGAUGGCUCCCCACGUUAUUGCCAAGAAAGUCCUCAUGUCAAAAGCUGCGGUUCUUUUCAUCAGCCUGAACCCGAACCUGUCGUUAUGGAUAACUCAGGUUUUUGUCAUCAACUAUAUCAUCUUUUUUACUGUUUUGAAACUCUUAAGAUUAAACUUCAGUAAAGUUGUUUCAGUUAUCCAUGUAAUCAGGCCAAGGAUAUUUAGCAGCUUAUUUAGGCAACUGCCAGAAUUGAGUUUGUUUGCUCGAAACUUGUAUGGUGACAAGGAUACUGGCAAGGAUAGUGAGAUAGUUUUUUGUGUGAGUGAAAUUUGAAAGCUUGGGUGUUCUGGGAUUUGCAAUUGCAAUCAUCCUCUGAGUCAGGUGAUUUCUUCUCCUGCUCUGUCUUGAUUUUCUCUCUAAUUGAAAGCAUAAAGUAUUUCAAUCAAAUUCUGUACCAGGAGUACAUAAAAGUUACUAAUAUUUUAUUUCCAUCUGUUUGCAUUGAUAACUCGGCAUAUGUUCUAGUUAAAGAACAAACAGAAACAGAGUUCAGGAAAAAGUUUCUUCGGCCACCAUAUUUGAAAAUGAAACCAUUUCCAGGAAGCAGUUGGCAGCAAAUUCAUAUGGAGUGUAGACAAUGAUGAGCAAAAAGGUGAUUCGCAAUUUCUUUUUUUUUUUAAGUGAAAUUAUUUGUUAGAUUGAAGCUGAUAUUGUAAGAAGGCCAUUGAGCUAACCUAUGUCGCCACUUGCCUAGAUUGCAGGGGGUCAAGACUCAAAAGAAGCACUGAAAUUUAAAAAGCAUGGAAUAGUUCUUUUGCCAUGUGUCAAUUAAUGCAAGUUUGAAUAAGUUUAUUGGCUGAACGAUGUUAGCUUCUUUUCCUUUCGUGCACUUUGGUAUGCUAUCAAGUGACAGCCGUAUGUAUGGCUUGCAUAUAGCUGCUGCUGGGAAAAUUGACGAUUUCAUGGCUGGCCGUGUUAUUGUCUUAAAUUAGUUGUGAUAAGCUGUUGCUUGGAGAUUCUGUUGCCAAGACUUUGCUCACAUCAGAAGCUGUGGAAUCUGAACCCUUCGUUAUGUAUCAUCUUUUUCAUUGUUUUAAAACUCUCAGGAUUAAACUUGAGCGAAUUUGUUCGGUUGUCUAUAUAAUCAUGUAUUGAGUAAACUCUCAGGAUACUGAGGGUGAGAGAAAUUAGAGGGUGUAUAGGGAUUUGGAUUUGUUAGGAAGUUAUCAUUUUUAUUUUUAUUUUUAUUUUUUUCCCAGAAAAUCUUCUGGUGGUGCUAUAUUUUCAAACGACAGUCCGAUUCAAAACUUGAUAUUCCAAUUAUAUUCAUAAGCUUCUAUAGUUAUCUUCAAAAAGACAAAUGGAAGGCUUUGAACGGCUUGGGUCUGAGUAUUGUAGUUUGAUUUAUUUUGAUGAAAGUACCUUUUGACAUUGAGAUUCUUUCAUGAGUUAAACAUUCUUUUUAAAACCAACUUAUUAAAAAAAAAAGUAACUAACAUAUAUUAUUUUGUUAGUGCUUUUUAAAUCAAAUAUAAAAAAGAGAACUGUAAUUCUUAGCAACCAAUUUUUCACUGAGUACACCUACAACAAACUACUAAAAAAUAAAGUGAUAGAAAAUGCCUGAUUUUUCGUACUUUCUAAUUACUUUUGGUCUUCAAAUAUGGCGGUUUGUGUAAUAAUAAGCCCAUGUAUAUCUUUAUGCCAUUAGUUUGAUAAAUAGCUAUCAAGGAUAACUUAUUAAGCUAAAAAUAUUUGAAGGAUAAAAUGAUAAAACUAAAAGGGUGGAGUAAUAUAGUUAUUUAGGAUUAUAUAGUAAGUCAACUAUAUUCGAGGGAUAAAAUAUUAAAACUUGAAUAGUGAUAUUAAAAAUAUCUCGACUAUUAUACUGUUAAACCAUAUGCCGUAAUAAUAUUUUUUUAGAGCUUGAAAAUAAUAAAAAGAUUUUAAAAUAUAAAUUGCAUAUUUGUUUAUUACUGUUGUUUGGUCUAAUUUCUUAUGUAGAAUUGCUUGUUAUUCUUUGGACGUUAUUGAUUAUAUUUUUGUCAGACUUGGCGUAUAUAUUCACAUACGUUUUAUUUUGUCAUUUUGUAGAACAUUUUUACACGCCAUAUUAUCACGACUCUUCUGUGUCUGAAUAAGAAGAAAGCAUAAUGCGACCCUCCAAUAGCUUAAUCUAUGGAAUUAUCGUGUUUUGUAAGUUGAGGUCCAAUGGCGUUUUGGCACAUCAUAUGAUAGACCACUAUAUUGCGUUGCUUUACAAAAGAUUAAUAUUUUUAAAAUUUAUUAGGUAAGUUUAGGCUCAGUGGCCCUUUAACUCAUGAUAUGAUAGUCCAGGUUUUCCGUUUUCGGAUCGAGUUCACUUUAACUCUGGUCCCGUGUUAUUAAAAUACCAAUUUCGGAUCGAGUUCAGGCGCCAGAACAAUUUUCUAGAACCUGGCCCGAGUUUAUUUUUGGGCUUGGGCCGGACGACCAAGUCCGCCCUGAUUAAAAAUUUGAGACUUUUCGAGGUUCACAGGGAUUCUGGCAUCCCUAGUCGAAUCAACACCGAUGUGAUCUACACAACCAGUGUACAUACCAUUUGAUACUGAAUCACCAAAUACUUAGAUGUAAUCAGCAACAAUUACAUAUAUAUAUAUAUAUAUAUAUAUAUAUAUAUAUAUAUAUAUAUAUAUAACUAAUAUUAAAAAUUGUUACUUUAUUAUACUUUUCUUCAAUGUAUGCCAUCUUUUGGGCAGGCAUGGCAAUAAAUGAGCAAAAAUGAAGACAACACACACAUUACACACACACACACACACACACACAGAGUGUAAUUGAAGUAUCAAACUGGCAAGGACACAAAAUGAAUUUAAUAGUAUAUAUUAUCUCAUAAUGGCAAAUCUAAAAAACACAAACUUAUUUAACAGCUAGCAAAUUUAAAAAUCACGACAGCAUCAAAAAUUGCGCACACGAAUUUAAUUAAGAGGGACGUAAAAUGGAGUUGAUAUGAUCAGCAAUGUUUUGGGCAUCAGCAGCAGCUCCAUAGAGUCCUUUCCUUGACAAUCCAACGCAGUAUAAACCAUUCUUCCCUUUCCAAUGAUUUGGGUAACUUUGCUUUGGGAUUCCAUCAUCGUUCAGCAUAGAAUCAUCUCCCUACUCAACAACAACAACAACAACAACAAGAAGAAAAUAAAAAAUAAAAAAAAUCUAAGAUUGAUUUGUACUUUUUGUAACCAUUAACGCGAAAGAGUUACAUAUUAUUAUAGAAACAAUAAAAAAAUAAAAUGGUAAAAGGCGAUUUGUUUUGGGGGGGAGGCAAAGUGAGAAUCGUCGUCUUUCCAAUAUAUAUGUAUAUAAAUAUUAUAUUACCUUGAGCCAAACAUUUGUUGAUCUCUUGAAGCCAGUACAGAAAACAAUCGAGUCAAAGUGAUGGGAGUGUCCAUUCUCAAAUACCACCUGGUUGCCUCUAAUGCUCUCCAUUCCCGGCAAUACCUGUGCAGGAGGAAUUUUAAAUUAUAUCACAAGUAAUACAUCAAUCAACUAACUUAGUUAUAUACUACAUGUGUAAUUAAAAAAUUAAUAUAAUUACUGCUUACAUAUUAAUUUUUCAUAAUAUAUAUUUACCUGUGUGUGUAUAUAGGGAGAGAGAGGAUGGCCAGCCAGGUCAUUCAAAAAAUAAAUAUCUGAUCACCUUGUAAUUAAUUACCUGAAUCUGUCCAGACUUGAUUUUCUCACAGGUGCCGACAUCGAUAACCGGGUAUUUUCCAUAAGCAGCUUUCAUGAAAAAAGGACCCUCCCUGGGCUUGUAGAUCCCAUACUUGCUCAAAUCUCCAUAAACAAGCCUGCUAAGCAUCACCAUCAAUGUGUCGACCCCGCCGCAUGGAACAUACUUCAAUAAAACUAACCCCAAAUACACCAUCUCCCUCGACAGCACAUGAACCUGAUUAAUUAAUUAAUGGAGUGGAUAGAUAUAUAGAAAUUAAGUAAAAAAAAUAUGUGCAUGCCAAGUGAAAUAAUAAUGAAUUUACCCACCGGGCUACGGAUAACUAAAGAGGUUUUGGCGGCAUGGUUGGCUAGAUCCAGUGCAAUUUUCAUGCCAGAAUUUCCAGAGCCAACGACCAACACAUGCUUGCCGCCAUAAGGUUUUCCAUUUUUAUACUGAGUGGAAUGAAUAACUUCUCCAGUCCCGGUGGCACUACUGCAGAAAGAACUCAGUCCUCGAACAUCCGGCGUAAAAGGGUUGCUCGUUUCCCCACUUGCAACCACUAGAAACCUCCCGGAAUAAUAUUCCUCAAUCUCACGGCCGGGACUUAGUAAGUUGCUAGCCUUAACGUUCCACAUAUUGGUUGCCUCGUCGUAGCUCGCCGAUUCAACGGAUCUUUGGUACCGUAUUGACGGACCGAUGUUGAAAUGGGAAACGUAGUGAUCCAAGUAUUCAAUGAAUUGGGCUCUGGAGACAAACAUCGGAUAAGAAGAAGGGAAUGGCAGGUGAGGGAGCUGACAAAAUUGCUUUGCUAAGUGCAGACGUAGGCGAUCGUAGGAAUAUUUCUUCCAGAUGGACGCGUAACAAUUUUCUCUUUCGAGGAUUACGUAAGGGAUUGAUAGAAGGCUAAGGCAGGCCGCCGUCGCCAGGCCGGACGGUCCUGCCCCUACUAUUAUCACUUCUACUCCCGCCGCUUGCUCUUUCAUUUCUUCUUUUUCUUCUUCUUCAGGUUAAUUUUGAGUUAAGUUGAUUGUUAUUGCCCAUCUGGGGGUGCUUGUUCUAUUUAUAUACUGAAAUCUUUACGUUAUAUGUACGACUCCAAUCAAUUUUUAUUUUGAUACUAUUGAAGAAGACGUAUGUUACAAGACACUCGAUUCACGAACUCCACGUGGUCGGACUUUAGAGGGAAAAAUUGUGGUGUAAUUCUGGUACCGUAUCACAGUUGCACUCAAUCGUUGGAUUUUGAUAGACCCCACUCAUCUAAUAAAUCUAACGGUUGGAUGCAACUGUGGUACAGUACCACAGUUGCAACGUAGCCGGACCUUAGAGGAAAAAAUGGUGGUGUAAAUGUGUUACCGUACCACAGUUGCACCCAAUCGUUGGAUCUCGAUGGACCCUAUCCAUCUAAGUGGAUCCAACGGCUGAAUGCACCUGUGACACAAUACCACAGUUAUACCGUAGUCGGACCUAUAUAUAUAUAUAUAUAUAUAUAUAAAGUGGUUUCCGAAAUAUUUUAAAGUGCAAGAAAAGUUCAACAAAAUUUUAAAACAAUAGAAUUUAAGAAGUUUAAAACUUAAAACAAUUAAACUGCAUAAUUUAUGUUUUUUUUUCAAAUGUUUCUGCACUAUAAAAUUUUGAUUGAAACCUCUCUGUUUGUAUAUAUGUUCGCUGCCACCCCCACCGUUUUAAUUUUCUCAUUCUAUGUGAUAAAUCAAUAUUUUUAUACGUCCUUAGUGUUACGAGAAAAACUUUUUACGUAGGACCAAAUGAUUAGAGUACUACCAAUUUAACAGAUUGAUUGAGGUAAUAAUUAAUCAUGCACAAGUCUUUCUCCAAAGUUACCAUGCUGACUAUAAUAUCUUCUUAAGCGUGCAUUUUUUUUCUUCUCUUUAAUACAAAAAAAAAAAAGAAGUAUUACAUUUGCAUAUAAAGUAACAUUAUCUAGGUCAUGUUACUAUUAAGGAAAAUGCUAUUUGCAUAUGAAAAAUAAAGUAAGGAUACUUUUACACAAAGACAAAAUUAGUAAAAUGAAUAAGUUUGUUUAUAAUGAAAUGUUUCUUAUUUUUAAUGACCUUGUAUAAUUUUAUGUAUAAUAUUAUGUACAAAUAAUAUUACCUACCAAAUGGUUAUGCUACCUCGAAUGGACGCAAAAUUAUUGGAAUAUAUUAAAACCAUAAAUUGUAUAACUUUUUUUUUUUUGGUUUAUUUAAUUUUGGCUUAAGAGAGAAGAAACAGAUUAGCAUGCUUUAUUUGAUUGAAAAAGACAUUGAAAAUAGCAUUCUUUGUGUUUCCACAAAUGAAGUCAUCCUCCCAGAUUUCAGUUUAUUUGGAAAUUUGACAUCCACAUGUUCAUUUGGAAUUUCGACAUCCACAUUCAACAAUCCUUCAAAGGAAAUAAGUUGGAAGAUGAAUUUCCCUUUCUCAAUAACUACCAUACCUCAUCAAAAUUGAAGUCCCAACUCAUAAUAUAUGACGUACGGUCCAGAAAGACUCAACCAUAUACUUGUAUUCUUGAAUGGAUAAUUUUGCCAGCAUGUUUCCUUGUUUGUUGGGUCAAAAAUAAAAGAAAUUAGGGAAGAAGAAAAAAAGCAAAUUGAAUUUGUCAAUGGAAACGUAAAGAUUACUUGACGUUGCCAAUAAGGUAUUUGAUUGACAUCUCAACUCUGACGAACGGCACUCGAAAUUGUAAUGUGAAAACACAGAAAUGAAGGGCCAAAUUAAUUAAAAGUAAAGAGGCUUUUAUGAUGUGGUGCAAGGCUUUAUGAAAAAAAUAGUCAGGUGAUAUUCUGCUUAACUAUAUUAUUGUUAACGACAUGAUUGGAUUGGGUCUGCUUAACUAUAUAAUAUUCUGCUUAAGAAUUAAUGAAAUUAAUAAAAUAAUUAAAUAUUAUUAAUUUAAUCAGGUGAUAUUCGUUUUGGGUUUAUACAACCUCGAUCGAGUCGAUGCUUCUUGAAGUCGUCUUGAAUUGGGGGGAUCCAGGACGAACAAAUAUGAAGCAACAUGAAAGGCGAUAACGACUCUCACACACAAAAUCAGAUAGUAUAUAUAGGAGUAACGAAAUCUCUUUUCUAGAUAAAGUAAGAGAUAGGUUAAAUUGAAAAAUAAUAAUAAUAAUAAUAAUAGCACAGUGAGUGACUUCAUGAAUUUAUGAGAUAACCAUGUAAUGCAUCAGAACUUGAAAAAUAAAAAUCAUUAAAAAAAAUUAAAAAUCAAAGUUAUGCAUUUUUGUAAGGGUGUUUUAUGUGAUAAAUACACGUUUAGUCUCUAUAUUUUGGGUUAAGUACUCAUUUAGUCCUCAUAUUUUGAAAAACGUCUCCAAGAUUUGUUAUGCUUUUGUCCUUAUAUUUUUCGUCUCAACUUUUACAAAAACAUCCUUGCGGGGCAUUAAUAAAGGGGAGAAAAUAUUAAUUUGUCAAAUUAACCGCAAAAGUAAACAAAAAUUAAUGUAAAAAUUUCUUACUAUUAUUUUUAUUUUUAAAGUUAAUUUGAUAUUAGUUUGGUACUUGUAAAGAAAAUUAUUGUAAACUCCUACGCCCAUCGGAGAUCCUCCUUUCUUCUCAGAAUUAUACAAAAUAGUAUUAAAAUCUCCACCUAACAGCCAAGGACCCCGGACAGUCAAAGCUAUCUUUGCCAACUCAUUCCAAAGAUGUCUCCUGAUGCUUGGAUUAGGACUAGCAUAGAUUGCCGUCAUCCAAGUUAGCAGGUUAUUGUUCCUUGAAAUCUUGAGGUGAAUGAACUGAGUAUGAUUCCCCACUAUCUCAACUUCAAAUAAAUUUUUCCAAAGGAUCCAAAUGCCGCCCGAAAAACCCUCAGCUUCCACUCGGUGAGACUUGUCAAAACCACUAUUCUUGAUGAAGUUAUCCGCCUUGGAACCACUGAUGCGAGGCUCCAUUAACACCACCAUUACGGGCUUGUAAUUAUUAACCACAGCAGAGAAAGAACGACGAAAGGACGGUGAAGCAGCACCUUGAGCAUUCCAAAACAUAGUUGUAAUACACAUAACAAAAAAAUUUAAAAGGAGAGCCAGGGGAAAAACUAAGACAGCCCUAUGGCUUCAGCUUCAUCAUCCAUGAAGGUGUCAGGAACCCCUGAAUUAUCUUCAUCAGUUAAAGGCACACUCCUACCCGCAACAUCUGAAUCAAGCUCCCUAAAAGGUCCCCCCCGGAGAUUAAGACUAUUCAUGCCAUCCUCAUCGGGGGGCUCUUUAUCCAAAUUCUGGGCCAAAACUUCCUUAGGCAACUGUUCAUGGUGAGACCGAGAAUGAGGAAAUUGAAGCUGAGGGUUAGGGAAAGAAACUGCACUAUGGUUUAACGGGUUAAGGGUUACAUGAACAGGCAUCGGGGAAGCAGCCAUUGUGUUGGGAUGGGCAUGCAUGCCAUGCAUGGAGCUACAGGGAACAUCAGAGGUAGCACUUGGUUCAGAUGUGGUAAGACCCUUGAGAUGUGCGUGCAUGCCUUGCAUGGCUAGGGUAGGAUUAUGUGGUUGGAAAGGCUGGCCACGGCUAUGAUUAUUGGGGUUGAUAUUUUCAGCUAUGGAGUUGUUUGCCCGAACGGAAAUUUUCUUGGUAGGAUAUUUUCGUAUAAAGUGACUCACUUGUUUCUUUUUCAUGCUCCUGGAUUUUGGGGCUAAAGUGUUGGGAUUUUCUAAUGUUGGCUCUGGAAUUUCCUGAUGGAUUACCGAAGUGUUGUCCUGAUUUUGUGGUGCAAUUUCCUCAUUCAUCACUUUGCCUAAGACAUCAAACCGCGACUCAUGAACAUUUAGCCCCUGUUGAUCCUGAACCGAGACCUUAGGAGAAACCCUUUCUGAAACUCUACGGGGGCGAGGUUUACGGGUUACCACCAUCCACGAUCCAAACUUAGACGCAUUUCGGUUAGAACCCUCCUCCACUACAAUAUCCCGGUUUGCAGCAACAGGACAAGAAGUUGGCAGUUCAGCUUCCACAUGCGUGGUACCACCGUCAGGGCAAGCAUCUUGAUAAUGGCCAAACUUGCCACAGUAAAAACAAAUCAAGGGCAGAUUUUCAUACUCCACCUUUUGGAUUCUUCCCUCAAAAUUAAAUUGAGAAACCAGCGGCUUGUCAAGGUCUAGUUGAACCGCAAUGCGAGCAAAUUUUCCCCUUUGGGCUGCGGCAGUGAGAUAGUCUAUCUUAAUGACCGGGCCAACAAUUUGCCCUAACCGCCGUAUAAUAGUUUUAUGAUAAAAGUGAAUAUUCAUGCCAGACAAACGAAUCCAAGCCACAAUACGAUCAACUCUAUUCGUGAUAGCAUCAAACUCCGGCGUCCAUUGCUGAACAAAAAGAUAAUGCCCCAUGAUGGUCCACGGCCCCUCAGUAAGAGCAUAUUCCACAUCUCCCUCGUUCUGAAAACGGAUCAGGUAAUAGUCAUUAGCUAAGUCAAUGAUGGAGAAACCCAUUGUAGAACUCCAGAGUCUCUUCAAACGCUCGCUGAUAACUCUAUAUCCCAGGUUUCGUCCAAGAGUUUUAACGACAACUGAGUUUGCCCAAGGUUUUGCUAGUCGUUCGUGGACCCUCUGUGAGAAAGCAAUAUAGGGCAUAGAUUCGUCCUCCUUACAACAAACAUCCUCCUCUUCCAGUUCCCACUCGUCCCUCAUGCCAAAAACCAUAUUUGCAGAGCCCCCAUUCGCCUCCAUGGCGAUAUCACGGUAGGAUAAGGGCUUAGGGUUAUCUCCAUCAGCCCCUUCAGCCCUAAACUUUGUCUUUUUGGUGAAUCGGUCACUCGCCAGCGGCGGUGGAGAAGCUUUCGCGGAGCUCAUUAGGGCACGGAUUCUUUGUUUUGGACUCACUCAAAAUCUGGGCGUUUCACUACUCAUUCGGCUUACUUGGCUUUUUCGAAUGAUACCCCCAUGCAUGAUGACAGGCCUUGGCGGACGGUUUGGAGUUGGAAGGGUCCCCAAAGUGUGAGGAUCUUCUUAUGGCAAGCGUUUCACAAUCGUCUGAAAACAAAGGCCGAGUUAGUUCGUCGUCACAUCCCGGUAUCAACCUCCUGCGAUCGGUGUGAGGCUGCGACUGAGGAUGCUUUGCAUGUCUUGCGGGACUGUGCUUUGGUUAAGCGUUUUUGGCUCCUGAUUCUCCCAGAAAAUAAACGACAUCAAUUCUUCAAUUGGCGGCUCCAUGAUUGGCUUCGUAUGAAUCUGGGGAUCGUCGGAGGGCUAGGGAGUGUUUCUAAUUGGGCCAUCUUCUUUGGCAUUGCUCUCUGGAGACUUUGGUUUUGGAGGAACCAAUUCAUCUUUAAUCAAGUUUCUAUGGAUCCGAAUGUUGUUUUAAUGGAUGUUUUUCUGCGCACUGCGGAAAUGCAAAAGAUUCAUACUCAUCCGCUUACCUCAGGACAUACGAGGGUGAUGAGAUGGAUCUCUUGGAAACCUCCAGAUUGGCCUUGGUGCUCUUUGAACACUGAUGGUGCCCAUAACAGGGAGGGAAUUUCUACUGCUGGGGGAUUGAUUCGCGAUCACAUGGGUCGCUGGCUUAGUGGUUUUGGGAUGAUGAUUGGUUCCUGCUCUGUUACAGUAGCGGAGCUUUGGGGUUUGUAUCAAGGGUUGCAACUAGCUUGGAAUUCUGGUAUAAGAAAGCUUAAAGUGGAAAUAGAUAGUCGUUGUGUGCUGCAGUUGGUGACCAAGCCAACAUUGGAAAUCAAUCAUUAUGCUUCUCUGAUUCGAGCUAUCAAGGAUUAUUUAAAGAUGGAUUGGCAAGUUUCUGUCUCCCAUAUUUACAGAGAAGCUAACUUCGCAGCGGAUUAUAUGGCGAGCCUAGCUUUCUCCAUCCCUCUUGGUCUUACUAUUUACCAUACUCCCCCGUUGGGAGUUAGCCCUUUUUUGUUUAAGGAUGCUUAUGGGAUUGCCCAUUCUCGCUCGGUUGUUCUUUAGCUCUGCUUAGAGCCCUUUUUUACCAAAAAAAAAAAGAAAAUUAUUGUAAAAAUUGUUGUAAGAAUAUUUAGCAGUUAGAACUAAAUAGAAAUUUAAUUCAAAAUAUAAAAGGAUUAAAAAAAAAAUUCACCUAUAUUAUUUUUAGUGUUUUUGUAAUUCGAAGUAAAGCAUAUUUCAUGCUGUUAAAUCGGGUUGACGAUCCCAUCGGAAAGAAAAAGAAAAGAAAUAUGAGGUGGAUGAUGACUUGCAUUCUAAGUCAAAGGAAUAUGCUAAGUGCUAAGAUUUGGUUGUUCACUGGACGCGCUCAAAUUGGUACUCUUUUUUUUUUAUCAAUUCAACGAUUCAACCAACGGCAGCAUGCAUUGCAUGCACAGGUUCAGAUACCUGCAACUCACUCCGGCCCCCACCCGAAAAAGCCAAACCCUCAGCCCUCUUUGAGUCUUUUACUAGUCUAUGUCCGAAUGAUUGUGUGCAGACAAAGCAAUUUAUUUGGGUGUCAUCGAGGAAACGGCCAUGAAUGUGGGUUAAGAGAAAGUGGUUAAAAAAAAAAGGGGGGGGGGGGGGGGGGGGGGAAUUGGGAGAAAAUGUCAAAUCUCCAACCCUUUUUAUUAUAUCCCACUAAUUUUUUUCACAUCAAAAUCUUAACCAAAAAAAUUAAUUUUUAUUUUGUGGAUGGAAUGUUAACAUUAAGAGAGUAUACUGGAGGGGAUGGUAACAAAGAAUAAUAACGUAAAUUCUCAUUUGUAAGUAACGAUGUAUGUUAUUUUCGCUCUCUUUGUAAGUUCUCAUUUCUCAAAAGUACUGUAGAGCAUACUGUAAUAGAAUAACAACAUAGUCUGUAAGCUAAUUUGAAUUUUUUUUUCAACUUAAAUGUUAUAAUGGUAAUUAUAAUGGAAUAAAAUGUAAAUUAUGUUGUUGUUUUUAUGGUGCAUUUAUUUUUUAUUUUUGGAUCAAGGAAUUAGAAUCUCAAAUUGAAAUUAUUGAUAGUGUUUACUUGAUAAAGUGAAGGUGAAAAUAUAAGUGAAAGUGAUAGGCUUUGUUGGACCAAAAAUAAAAUAGGCCCAAUCAAGACCUAAAUAAAUUUAAUCCCAAUAAGACCCAUCUAAUAAAUUUACUCUCGAUUAAGUCCACAAAGCGUUGAACAAAUCACCUAUAAUAAUCCUCCUAAGUAAUAAAGCUUCAAAACCCAAAGGGUUCCAAGAUCCAAGACCAAAACUUAUUCUAGAGUCCUAAGAUCUAUCAUAAGACAAAUCACCUAGGAUAAUCCUCCUAAGUAACAAGACUUCAAAGCCUAAAAGGUCUCAAAGUCCAAGACUAAAAGAUUCUAAAGUCCUAGGAUCUUAUCUUAAGACAAACCACCCAAAAUAAUCAUCCUAGAUGACGAGGCUUCAAAGCUCAAAAGAUACUGAGAUCCUAGGCUUCUAUUCUAAGACAAACUAUUUAUGAUAAAUCUCCUACAUUCUAAGGUUCUCAUCAUCACAGAGUUUUAGUAAAAAUAACUUAAGGUUAAAACACUUCUUUCUUUAAUAUAUAGACAAACUUGCAUAUUCAUGUGUUAAUUAACAUGGCCACAAACAAACAAGUGUUGCCAGACGUGAUAAGAACAAUAACACUUGUCAUUAAAAUAACUAGGACUUAAGUCAAAUCAAUUUCGCCUAUAAAUAUGUCUUUUAUUCUCAGUAAAAGGUAAGAAAAAAUGGACUCAAACGGAAAAAUGAUAACUUUCACUUUCUAAUAUUUUUCUUUCUAAAUAUACAUUUCCAAAAGUCUGGUGACUAACUUGACCAUAGGACGGUUUAUGCCGGCAAAGCCGGCUUUCUGAUUCUUUUCUUGUGUUUGUAAAGUAUCACUAAAUAAGAACAUUCUCAUUAUCUAAAGAAGUGAACUCAGACAACGAUAUAUAAAGGCCUAUUAAGAUCAACCUAAAGGGUAAACUCACUAUCGUUAAAUCCAACAAAAAGUAACCCAAGUCCUAAGGGGGUCGUCCUCAGUUGGAAUUUCUACAUAAUAAGUUGGGACAAAAUUUGCACAAACAGGCUUCACACAAAUUUAAGAUUAGGAUUUGAAAGUUUGAUUCCCAAAGGGCUUAGGAUUUAGAUUCCAAUUCCUUUGACUGAUUAUUUUAUCCCCACCUAAAUUAUUUAACUUCAAUUUUAUCCUCCGUUAAAAAUAUUAUAUAUAUAUCUUUUUCACAAUUCCCAAAAAUCUGAACCACCAAAAUCACGUUGCCGGUCAUCACGUAGCAUCCGUUGGAAUUGUGCACUGAUUGUCAAUCUCGCACUACAGCAGACGUUCGUUGAUAGUUAGCCUUACAAACACUGUAUCUCUCCAUCAAAUGUGGAUUGAUAAUGAGAUUGUUGGUGGUGAUAAAUAUCGAUGGUGAGAUUGAUAAUGAUAAAGAAUAUUGAUGAUGCUGCAUCAUCAAAUCUGAUAAAGAAGCCAUAGUAGCUAGGGGAUCUUAUUCUUUAUCAUCGGGAAGUACUGAGGAUGAUGAUGAAGAAGAAAAUAAAUUAUAAUAAUACAUAAUAAUAAUAAUGAUGAUAAUAAUUAAAAGAUAUUUUAAUGACUUGUAACAUUUUAUUUCGAUCCUAUAAUAAAAUAAAUAUAUUAAUUAAAAUACAACAACUUAUUUUUAUUUUAAUUUAUGUAAUUCAAAUAAAUAACUUAUUUUUUAUUUUCAUUUCAUCUGAGUUCGAUUCGAACUUAUUUCUAAUUGCCUUUCAUUAUCGAAUGUUAAAUGCGCCUUAAAUUUUCUACACCAAAACCAAACGCCGAUAUGUCAUUAGUCCCUAAAUAUUUCAGAACCAGACUCCGUGAUCCAGGUCCACUGCCCUUUAAUUGAUUGGGUCCCACUAAUUCGAAGGUCGCACCCCACCCUUUUAAUUACUUUGGAUUUUCAAAAAUUUUUAGGACCGGCGAAGAGAUAAUAUGAAAAUCACAAGCAUGUUGUGCAUUUGAAAAUUGAAAUUGUGACGGGAUCAGCAUCCACCUAAGAGCAUUUAAUAUAAACAUAAAAAUUAUUAAGAAUCUCCACAAUAUAAUUAUAUAAAUAAUAAAAUAAAUAUAAUUUAAAAUUAUGUCUUAUAAAAUUAUAUGAAUAAAAUUAUAUUUUUAAUUUUUAAUUUCAAGUCGGGUCGGACAUGGUAGGACCAAAACUUUGACCCGAACUUUAAUCGGCCAUAAUGUUUUAGCCUGAACCCGACUUAAAAUCUUUAAAUUUAGGUUAAAGUCUGAAAAUUUUGGAUCACAUCAAUCAAGUUAAAAAUUAGGCCCGACCUUUUUAACCAUGCAUACCAUCUGCUGCAGAUUUAUUUCGUUUUUAUGAACAAACUUCGAAUGUUAUUGGUAAAUUUGUUAAUACGAAUCAAUAAAAAAUAGCCUAAAGAUUUGAGGAUUGGGCAUUUAAAUUCCGAAUAGUACAAAAACCAUUAAAUAUCCAAUUAGAAUAUGAGAUGCCGUACAAGUAAAAUCUGGACUCUGGCAUCGUCAAGGUAACAGGUUUCCUUUGUCCACCAAUCAAAAACACAAAUUAAAGUUUACCAGAGAAUUAGACAGACACCACCUCUGAUGCCAUUUAUAUUAAAGGUUACAAGCAACUUACCAUUUUUGUAACUUCAUUCCACUAUUGCAAGGAAUGGAGAAAAAUCCCCAUGGUAUACCCCGUAGGGGACCUAAUCCCUUGCGUUUUCAUAUUCUAAAUUAUAUUCAGUUAAAAUAUUAAAUAUUAAAUACAUUCUUAAUAUUAAUAUUCUUAGAUGAAAUUCUUUUGCUGACUUAAGAAUAAAAUAUUAAAUAAUGUUAUUUUUCUUUUAUUGUGUAACGUGGACCAAAAAAAAAAGGAAAAGAAUUUAAUAAAACCUUCAUUCCGCCAACAUGCAUGUUAAUUGUUUCCAAAUUCCAACCUCCGUACUCUCUUGAGGAGUUUCCCAUUCAUCAAUUAUUAUUUUUUUAUAAUCCAUACCAUCCUGAUAUAAUUAAACACCAUUAAUAAUGUACCAGCCUUUAAAUAGUAAUUAAUUUAUUUAUCUAAUUCACCAAAUGUCAUUUCCUGUACAUAUCUCCAUUGGUAUCAAGAAGAGGCAGAACCCAAAGAAACGUUUCUUGCAUCUUCAUAUUUGUGCGAAUUCAUCCUUUCAUUGAGAAUAACCAUUUCCAGGCAGCAGUUGGCAAUCAAUUCAUGCGCACGUCGAUGCUAUUCAUAGAUAUUAAAGACAAUGAUGAACCAAAGGUGAUAAAUCAUAAAUGCAUAAUUACCAAACCUCCAUCCUUCUCUCAUUAUGAUUUGAUUUUAAAUGAAUUAUUGCUUGGUAACAUUAUUUCCAACCAUUGCAAGACCCUUUUUUUUUUUUUUCUUUUGGGAGAAAUUUCAAUUGAAAGUGAAACCUUUAGACAUUUACCUAACGAAGUUAGUUAAUCGGGAGGGUUGGAAAAAAAAAAAGUUGACGCAAGUCAAUGCACAAUAAUUAAUUAAAUCCGGAGUGACUAAACAGAGCCACGACUUUUUCAAAAAUAUCUGCAUUCAUCACUUUCUCCAGCAGCUAGUCAGCUACACACGAAUCAAUUUCUCUCCUCGUUUGUUGUCAUCCAAAAUUGUUCACCAAUACCAUGGCUGAUGCAAUCGUUUCCACUAUCUUGGCGCAGCUGAUUUCCUUCGCUGCUGAAGAGAUAAAACAACAGGUGAUCGAAGUUACACCCCUCAUAUUACAAAUACUUCCAAUGACUUUAAUUGGUUUUUUUAUUAUCAAAAACAUUAUAAUUAUAAUUUUUUUAAAUUUGAAUUGAAUUUAAUUAAAAGGUGAUGUAGUAACCACUCAUUUUUAUUUUAUUUCAUUUAUAUUCUCGAUAACUAACCAUAUUUUGGUAACUUAAUAUAACUCUCGUACAUAAGAAAUGAUCAAAACCCACAAUUUUAACUCUGUAUAAAUAUUCAACGUUGAGUCAUUAAUUCUCAACUCAGCACUGAAUCCCAUAGCUAUUACUUAGACUCUAUGAAAAAUUUCAUAGUUUUCUUACAUUCUUUGAGUUGGGUAAGUGAUUUCCUAUAAUUUCUUUUCAAGUUAAAUUUUAAUUUGGUUUCUGAUAUAGUCUCUUUGCCGAAUUGUCUCUUUUAUGAUUCUUGGAUUUUGGACUUCAACUUUUUAGGAUUUGAUAGUCAUAUUUUAUGCCAUGCUCAGAUUGAUUUUCAUGAUUUUUAGUAGCUGUUGAGUGACUUACAAUUUGACGAAAGUUUGAAAGGAAAAAUGUUUCAGGAUUAUGUUUUAAUUGACCUUUUAGUGGAAAUAGGAUGCUUAUAACUUAAUGUGGAUGGUUCGUAAAAUCAUGAAAUUUGGAUAGGAUUCACUAGAAAUAUGUACAAGACUCUCCAUAAAAUUUCAUAAUUUUUCAUUCGGUAUGGGGUGGCACAGGUGAAACUUGUGUUUGGUGUUGAAAAAGAAGUGAAAAGCCUUACCAGCCACCUUCAAGUCAUUCAAGUUGUGCUCGAUGAUGCAGAGGAAAAGCAAGUGAAGGACAAAGCUGUUAGUCUUUGGCUGGGUAGGCUCAAGUACGCAUCCUACGACAUUGAAGAUGUGUUGGAUGAGUGGAUCACAGCAAGACGCAAAUUGCAAAUUGAGGAUGGCAUUGAUGAAAAUGCUCUUGUUGCUCCUCAUAAGAAAAAGAAGGUAUGUCUCUGCUUUCCCGCCUCUUGUUUUGGAUUCAAACAAGAAGAAUUUGGUUUCAAACAAGUCUUUCUCCGUCAUGACAUUGCCAACAAGAUCAAAGAAAUGAAUGAAGAGCUACAUGAUAUUGCCACCCAAAAAGACAUGUUUAAUCUUGUUAAGAGUGGCAAUAAAAGUAGUGAAAGACCAAGGCGUGUACAGAGUACCUCCUUGAUUGAUGAGGAAGAGAUUUGUGGUAGAGUUGGUGAGAAGAAUGAACUCAUAAGCAAGCUGUUGCGUGAGAGUAGCGAGCAACAAAAAGGCCUCCAUAUCAUCUCAAUUGUUGGUAUGGGAGGCAUAGGGAAAACUACUCUUGCACAACUAGCUUGUAAUCAUGACGAGGUGAAGAGAAAGUUCGACAAAAUUCUGUGGGUGUGUGUAUCAGAAACUUUUGAGGAGUUUAGGAUAGCCAAAGCGAUCGUUGAAGUUUUGGAUGGUCGUGAAUCUCAUUUAGCUGAAUUCCAUUCUCUUCUUCAACAUAUUUGUGAAUCAAUUGCAGGGAAGAGCUUUCUUCUUGUCUUAGAUGAUGUGUGGGAUGGAAAUUACUUGAAAUGGGAACCAUUCUACCGUUGUCUAAAGAAUGGUCUCCAUGGAAGUAAAAUUUUAGUUACCACACGUAAAGGGUCAGUCGCAUCCAUGAUGGGAUCCAUAGAUAUUAUCUCCGUGAAGGAGUUAGCUGAAGAGGAAUGUUGGUUGUUGUUUAACAAGAUAGCAUUUUUUGAUCGGUCCAUCGAGGAACGUGAAAAAUUAGAACAAAUUGGGCAAAGAAUUGCAGGCAAGUGCAAAGGUUUACCUCUUGCAGCAAAGACAAUAGGGAGUCUCAUGCGUUCUAAACAAACUGAAGAAGAGUGGAAAAGAAUUUUAAAUAGUGAUUUAUGGAAAGUAGAAGAGAUUGAGAAAGAUGUUUUGUCCUCUUUAUUGUUGAGUUAUAAUGAUUUGCCAUCUAGAGUAAAAAGAUGUUUUUCAUAUUGUGCUGUCUUUCCAAAAGACUACGAUAUAAAAAAAGACAAACUAAUCACAUUAUGGAUGGCUCAAGGUUAUCUUAGUGCAGAACAAGAUGAAGAGAUGGAGACAGUAGGUGAAAAGUAUUUUGGCAUCUUAGCUUCUCGCUCGUUUUUUCAAGAGUUUAAGAAAAGUUAUGAUAAUCGGAUUAUAGCGUGUAAGAUGCAUGAUAUGGUACAUGAUUUUGCCCGAUUUGUAAGUCAAAAUGAAUGUUUUUCGAUGGCAAUUAAUGAUAGUGAAGAACCAAAUGCUACAAACUCUCUUGAUGAGAAGGCCCGUCAUUUAAUGUUAAUCUUUAGUAUAGGGGCUUCAUUUCCUGUUUCCACUAGUAGAGUUAAAAGAAUGCGUAGCCUCUUAAUUAACUAUAGUGGAUCUGAUCAUUCAUCAUUAAAUGGUGAGAUCCUAGAAGAAUUAUUUGGGGAAUUGACAAGUUUAAGGGCAUUAGAUUUUGGCGAACCGUACGACACAAAUUUUUCUUUGACUCUGGAGAUUCCAAGAAAUAUAGAAAAGCUGGUACAUUUGAGAUACCUUAAUUUGUCUUAUCAGGGAAUAAAGAAACUACCGGAGACAUUGUGCGAGUUGUAUAAUCUAGAAAAGUUAGAUAUUAGUUGGUGUUUUAAUCUUAAAGAAUUACCUGAAGGGAUUGGGAAGUUAAUAAACAUGAAGCAUUUACGAAAUAGAGGUACUAAUUCUUUAAGGCACAUGCCAGUAGGGAUUGGGAGAUUAACGGGUCUUAGGACCUUGGGUGAGUUCCACGUGAGUGCAGGAGGAGGUGUUGAUGGUAGGAAAGCGUGUAGGCUUGAAUCUCUUAAAAACUUGGAACACCUUCAAGUAUGUGGUAUACGUAGACUGGGUGAUGUAUCAGAUGUGGGCGAGGCUAAGCGAUUAGAACUUGACAAAAGGAAAUACCUCUUCAGUUUGACCCUUGAGUUUGAUAAGAAGGAAAGAGGAGGAGAAAUGAGGAAGAACGAGGACGAUCAACUUCUUCUUGAAGCCCUGCGGCCACCUCUCAAUUUAAAGGAAUUAGAGAUACAGUACUACCGAGGCAACACUGUUUUCCCCAGCUGGAUGACGUCAUUAACCAACUUAAAGAGUUUAGAUCUCUCUUCCUGCGAAAAUUGCGAGCAGCUGCCUCCUUUGGGAAAAUUGCCAUCCCUUGAAGCACUCAGCCUAUUGAUUAUGCGGAGUGUGAAAAGAGUGGGUGAUGAAUUUUUGGGGAUAGAAAGUGAUCAUCAUGGCUCAUCUUCAUCUUCAUCGGUUAUUAUUGCCUUCCCCAAAUUGAAAUCACUUAGUAUUGAGGGAUUGAUGGAAUUGGAGGAGUGGGAUUAUGGGAUUACAAGAACGGGAAACACCGUCAUCAACAUCAUGCCACGUCUUUCUUCCUUGACAAUUGGGAGUUGUCCCGAAUUAAAGGCACUGCCUGACCACAUUCAUCAAACGACAACAUUGAAGGAAUUGCAUAUUUGGGAUUGCAGGCUUCUGGAAGAACGUUAUUGCAAGGGGGAAGGAGAAGACUGGCCUAAGAUAUCACACAUUCCCAACCUCCAUAUUGGGCUUUGACAAGUAAUUUCUUCUCUUACUCUGAUUUGCUUUGUUCUUGUUUUUAAUCUAAUUAAGAAGCGUAAAUAGCAUUUUGAAUCAAACUCUAUAUCAGAAAUCUGCAAUACUUACUUUCUAAUAUUCUGAUUUUCAUAUCCUAUGAAUAUACGAUUUUUAAUUUGUGAGAUGGGUAACGUUAUUGUAAAAGAUUAUUAAUGCAAUAUGAGUAAUUCUUUUACAGGACAAGUGACCUACAUUUAGUUUGGCUUUGGAGUUGAAUAAUAACGUUUUGAGGUCCCGACAUCCAAAAAACGAAGCUUAAUUUGCCACAGAUUGAACGUAUUGCCAUUAUUGACAAUUUUCUGCACAAGCGUGACUGAACUUAGGUUGAUGUCAAAAGAGGUAAAUUAUUGGCAUGCCUGACUAUUUUGACCAUUACAUGAUUCAUAAGUUUACAUUAAUUUUGAUUUUGAGUUGAGUGAUUAGUUUUCUAGGUUUGCUUACUUUAACUGGGUGACCAAUUUCUUGUAACUAAAUGUAUGAUGUGAUGCAGGAAGCAGGGUAGGAUAUGAAAGAGAAGCUUAUUAGAGGAAGGAUUGCCAGUAACAGAAUCCAAAGAAAAAGAAACCAUUUCGAGGCAGCAGUUGGCAGUUGGCAGUGAAUGGAGCCCCUUGAAAAAAUUCCCAAGCCGUUGCACUGCAAUUACGAUCAUCCUCGGCCUCAGGUAAUUUCUUCUCCUGCAUUUUUGUUAUUUGCUAUCAAGUGACUAUUUUAAGUAUGAUUGCAUUAAGCUGCUGCUGGGAAAUUUGAGGUUUUGAUGACUGCCCAUGCUAUUGUCAGAAGCUGCGGUUCUUUUCAUCAGCCUGAACCUGGACCUGCCGCUAUGGAUAACUCAGGUUUUUUUUUUUUUUAAUCAACUGCCAUCUUUUCCACUGUUUAGAAACUCUUAAGAUUAAACUUUAGUAAAGUUGUUUUAGUUAUCCAUGUAAUCGGGCUGAGGAUACUUAGCUGCCUAUUUAGGCAAAUGUCAGAAUGUUCGCUGGGAACUGGUGUGGACUGGCAAAGGAUGAUGAGAUAGUUUUUUGAGUGAGUAAAUUUUGGGAGCUUGAGUGUAUUGGGAUUUGCAAUUACAAUCAUCGUCUGCCUCAGGUGAUUUCUUCUCCUGCUCUGUCAUUGUUUGUUCUCUAAUUCAAAAGCAUAAAAUAUUUCAAUCAAUUUUAUGCCAGGAAUAUGCAAAAGUUUCUAAUAUUUUAUUUCCAUCUGUUACAAGAUCAAACUGAAGUAGAACUCAAACAAAAGUAUGCUACUUCUUGCGGAAAUCUUGCCUUUGUUCAGAUUAUGAAACCAUUUCCAUGCAGCAAAUUCAUCCAAAAGUUUGAAUAAGUUUCAUGGUUGGACACUGUUGGCUUCUUUUUCUUCUGGGGUGCAUUUAGGUGCUAUCAAGUGACAGCUGUAAGUAUGAUUGCACUAAGCUGCCGCUGGGAAAUUUGAGGUUUUGAUGGCUGCCCAUGUUAUUUUCAAGAAACUAUUGAUGUAAGAAGCUGUGGUUCUUUUCAUCAGCUUGAACCUGAAACUGUCGCUAUGGAUAACUCAGGUUUUUGUUAUCAACUAUAUCAUCUUUUUCACUAUUUUGAAACUCUUAAGAUUAAACUUUAGUAAAGUUGUUUCAGCUAUUCAAAUGAAAAACUCAUUGAUUUGAGACUUCCUUCAUUAUUGUUUCUAAUUACAAUGCUAACGAUCCAGAUAAAAUAAUAUUUAAUCGGCGAAGGUGUCCCUUGGAAGUACAUCCUUCUUUUUCUUUUAUUAUAUAAAUUCUUGCAAUGAGCUUAGUGAAGCUGUUGUGCUAAUCAUGCCACUGCAUAAUUUGGCCCCUAAUGUGGGUACUCUGUUACAUUGUUCUGCAAAUUCUCCGGAAGUUAAAAUCAAUAAAUUUUCUAUUAGCUCUAGUGCUUUGACCUAAAUGCUAUUCUAUAUUUUGAUUACAAUGUUUUAACCUUUAAAUUAACUACCCCUAGAUGUUGGAUUUUCUAGAACUUCAAAAUACAUAAACCGUCAGACAUUUAAGCAUCCAAAGAUACAUUAUAUAUUUCUGUGUCUCUAUUUGUAGAUGACAUUUAAGCAUCCAUAAACCGUCAGACAGAGGAAGGGCGUUCAGUGCAAAGAUUCUGUUGACCUAGGGUUGACUGCAUAAUGUCACUUGUUCGCAAUCUAUUAUUUAUUUCAUAUUUUGAAGAAUUUAAUGGGUAAUCCUAAUUGUUUGUUUUGGCAGGUAUGUGUUGUUAUCUCCUUCUAUCUAACAGUCGUACCUAAAUAGCAUAGUUCCAAAGAGGUAAAUUAUUGUCAUGCCUAGAUAAUUUGGCCAUUUCCUAAUUCAUAAGUCUACAUUAAUUUUGAUUUUGAGUUGACUGAUUUCUUUUCAAGGUCUGCUUCCUUAACGGAGUGACCAAUGUUUUUCAACUAAAUUUAUCAUAUGAUGCAGGAAACAGGGCAGGAUAUGAAAUGAGAAGCUCAUUGGUGGAAGUAUUGCCAGUAGCAGAACCCAAUGAAAAUGAAACUAUUUCAAGGCAGCAGUUGGCAGUUGCAAGUGAAUGGAGGCCCUUGACAAAAUUCUCAAGCGAUUGCAAUGCAAUUACGAUCAUCCUCAGCCUCAGGUAAUGUCUUUUAUUGGUACCCAACAAAAAUGCAAGGUCUGUGAGAAGACAGUUUGUCCAGUUGAGCAGUUAUCUACUGAUGGGGUUGUUUAUCACAAGUCUUGCUUCAAGUGCUCUCACUGCAAAGGCACACUCAAGCUAAGCAAUUACUCAUCCCUGGAAGGUGUUCUUUACUGUAAGCCUCACUUUGAGCAGCUUUUGAAGGAGUCGAGUAACUGCAACAAGAAUUUCCAAUUACCUGCAAAGUCAGCUGAGAAGUUAACUCCUGAGCUGAGAAGGUCGCCUAGCAAAGUUGCCAGCAUGUUCUCUGGGCCCAAUAAAAAUGUGCUUCUUGCAGUAAAACAGUGUGUCCGUGGGAGAAGGUAGCAGCGGAAAAUCAAGCCUCUCACAAGACAUGUUUCAAGUGCUCACAUGGUGGUUAUUCCAUUAGCCCGUCAAAUUACGCAGCCCUAGCAGGCAUCUUGUAUUGCAAACAUAAUUUCUCCCAAUUGUUCAAGGAAAAAGGCAGCUACAACCACCUUAUAUCAAAUCUGCUCCCAUGAAGCGUGCUGCAGUCUCUGUUCAAGAAGCUUGAACAUGUUAUGUUAUCUUCCAUAAAUCUUAUUUGGCGUGGGUUUUCUCUGGCUUGAGGGUGUGCUUUCUAUUUUGAUCCCUCUUGUUGUUUUUGCGGGGAACUACCAAACCUUCGGUUCCCUCUGCUUCUUUGGAUCAUCUUUGUUUGGACAAAUUUCAUGUAAUUAGAGAUACCGAUUUAUGGGAGGCAUAAUCCCAUGGUCGUAAAUUGACCAUUUUCUGGCAAGUUCUUUUUAAAAAGAUAUGAGCAGUUGUUUAAAAAAAAAAAAAUAGCUUGCCUUCAUCAUUGUAUGUUACCAAACUGCUAUGUAUAGCUGUUAACUAUGAGCAUCCGAAAAUAUGGUGCAUCGUGAUUCAUGUAGUGCAAUAUGGCUACCAACGCAUCCUAAAUGGAAUAUUACUCAGUUAGUCAGCAAAAUAAGACAACAUAACUGAUAUUAAAAAAAUAAAAACUACAUUAAUAAGUGGGCAAGAUCAUGCCAGUUUAACUUUUCGCGAGUCGCUGCUGGAGAUAAUCAAAUCGGGGCAGAGAAAAGGAGAAUGGAAUCAGAGGCUAAGAUUAAUAAGUGGGCUUCUGCUUGCUUUGCCCCUCUUUCUUAAACGAUUGGUAGACUGCUGCUUCCACCGAUUAACCGGGUCUUCAACCACUGCUUUUACUGCCUGCCAUCUUGUUGUUUGUCGAAGGGAUGAAUUCGAGUCGAAAAGAGAAAGCGCGCUGAAAAAGAUAAAUCACUAGUGGUUAACUGCUGACUCAGCCAAGUGUUGGCUUCACUUGAUUCACCGAUUGAGGUUAUUUUGUCUUCUAUCUAAUGCAGCGAAGAAGCUUUGCUGCUUAACAUGCUGCAAUGCAACUUUAUCCUUUGAAGUUCACACUUCAGGGCUGCGCACUUUAUGUAAUCCUAUGAGUAAAAAGAAUUUGUUUUCAAAUGUGAAAAAAGAAAAUGUAAGGUAGUAACUAAUAUAUUAUAGCAUCAAAGCAAGAUUUGAUAUGAAUUUAGUACAACAAAGAACAUCAAAUCUGUGAUUCCUUGUCUAAUGUCACCAUCGAGCAACAAAUUUAAAAGCCUACCUAUCAAAUACACGAGGCAAUAAACGGAGAAAAAGUUGAAUUACAAGAACAAGUUUACAAUUCUUGUCAAUGGUUAAUGAUUCGUGAACUGAGAUAGCAUUCAAGAAUCCAAUUUCAAUACAACAACGUAAAAGAUAAACAGAUGAUGAAUUUUAUGAGAUAAAGAAGGAGAUCGUGUUUUAUCGUAUCUCUAUUUUCUUUCUUUUUAAAUUUAAAAUAAGCUUUUCAACCGGUUUAUUAACCGGUUAUAAUAUUUUUUAAAAUAAUUAAAUAUUUUCAUUAUUAAAAAUAAUGUGUACCGUUGAUUACAUCUAACGGUACAUAUUUCUUACACUACUAAUACGGUAAAAAAAAAAAAAAGGGCAUCAUAAAGGGACCCUUAAAACAUUUUCAUUUGAAAUUAUUUGGUGUAGUCAAAAAGUUAAGAAAGAAAUAGUUGUCCCUUUGGUCAUUUCACAAAAAUGAAAGCCCCAUAUAACAUGGACUUGAAUGGAAACCCAAUUGUUUGUGUUUGAUUUCAAGCUUUAUCGGACCUUUGGACCUGGAUACUUUACUGCGGCCUCUAAGCGCUAUAAAUUUGUUUUUUGGGAUAAAAGGCGCUUCAAUGAAAAAGCACUUUAAAACUUUGGAUUUUGCCAAAACUUCAAAGCGGUUGGUCCAGUUACGGUGUUAUGCUAACGGGUUUAAAGGUUCCGAUCCAAUGAGUUAGGGUGGAAUAUGAAUAUAUAAAUUCCAUAGCAUGUAAGGACUAGGAUUUGUUUGUUCAUAUUAAGAAAAAAGAUCUAAAAAUUUGAUGAUCAGAAGAAAAUAGACUCUUCUCUGUCUGAAUAAGAAGAAAGCAUAAUGCGCCUCCAAUAGAGAGAAAAGGGACUUAAUUUCACUUGCGUCAAAUGUUCCUCAUUCUUUGAUGGAAGAAAAACUCUUAAUAGUCUAUUGUUUUUUUUUUUUUCAUUUUUAUUUAAGUUUCACAAUAUUUUAGUAGUUGAUCAAAUUAUUUAGAAUUAGACAUUUAAUCUAGGGACAAUGUGAACUUUUUAAAAAUCUAUCAGGUGAUUUCAUAAUUUUAUAAUUCAGUUGGGGUAAUUUCUCAAACUAUAAACAAAUUAUCGUGUUUUGUAAGUUGAGGUCCAAUGGCGUUUUGGCACAUCAUAUGAUAGACCACUAUAUUGAGUUGCUUUACAAAAGAUUAAUAUUUUUAAAAUUAUUAGGUAAGUUUAGGCUCAGUGGCACUUUAACUCAUGAUAUGAUAGUCCGGGUUUUCGAGGACCACUAUAUUGUAUUGAUUUAAAAAAAAAAUUAAUAUUUUUUAAUAUUAAUAUUCUAAAUUAUAUUCAGUUAAAAUAUUAAAUAUUAAAUACAUUCUUAAUAUUAAUAUUCUUAGAUGAAAUUCUUUUGCUGACUUAAGAAUAAAAUAUUAAAUAAUUUUAUUUUUCUUUUAUUGUGUAACGUGGACCCAAAAAAAAAAGGAAAUGAAUUUAAUAAAACCUUCAUUCCGCCAACAUGCAUGUUAAUUGUUUCCAAAUUCCAACCUCCGUACUCUCUUGAGGAGUUUCCCAUUCAUCAAUUAUUAUUUUUUAUAAUCCAUACCAUCCUGAUAUAAUUAAACACCAUUAAUAAUGUACCAGCCUUUAAAUAGUAAUUAAUUUAGUUCUGAGAAGGAAAAAAAAAACAAAAAAACUACUUUGACCAGAAAAAUUCCCCGUUCUAUUGCCUAUAUAUGAACUGAGCUGUGCAAUUGAUCAAUUUCAAAAACUUCCUCAGCUGACCAAUUUUGAGCAAUUACUACAUAACAUAAAACCAAAUGCUGGAUGAAUUGGCAUCUCUGAAAACCCCAGCUCACACGUACCGACAGAAAGAGACUCUAGAUGUAUUCAAACAUUAAAUAACUGCAUAUGCUCUUCAAAAGAUGGAAGGAACCAUGGAUUAAAAAGAAGCAACCAUCUAAACAAGAACUUAUAUUAAAAAGCAAAGGAAGUAACACAUUAAAUUGAGAAGUGUGAUCAUCACUAUGAAGCUUCUAUAAGUAAUUUAAGAAUAGUAAUAAAAAACUAUUCUAAUAUAAGUAAUAAAUAUGGGAGACAUCUUUGGCUAAUAUGUAAUAAUAAUCUCGAGCAGCAGACGGACUCUUAUUUGCUCCAAUUUGAAUGGUGGUGUUAAGCAAUUUAAAUGUGAAGCCACUCGAGGCUCUGAUUGUGACAGCGGAAGCUAUACAGGCACGGCAUCAGAACAAGAAGAAGGAGCCGAACAACAUAUUUCAGUUCUCAAGAGAAGAAUAGAUUCUCAAACAAACUUCAAUUUUGAGAAGAAGAAGAAGGAUUCAUUAUCAUGGCAAGCUCAAAAAUGCAUUGGUAGAUUUUUCUACGAAAUGGGUAUUGAUUUCAGUGUUGCUAAUUCUCCAAGCUUUCAAGACAUGAUAAAUGCUAGCCGUGGUAAGGAAAAGUGUGAGAUCCCCAGUUGUCAGGAUUUGAAGGGGUGGAUCCUUCAUGAAGAAGUGAUGGAAAUGCAAGAAUAUGUGAAGAGGAUAAGACAUUCGUGGGAAAGUACUGGGUGCAGCAUUUUGUUGGAUGGAUGGACUGAUGAAAAUGGUCGAAACUUGGUCAGUUUUAUUGUGGAUUGUCCUCAGGGACCUAUUUAUCUGCGAUCAUCAGAUAUUUCAGCCUUCGUUAGUAAUGUUGAUGCCCUGCAGUUAUUAUUGGAUGGAGUCAUUGAGGAGGUUGGAGUGAAUAAUGUUGUUCAAAUUGUUGCAUGUUCUACAUCAGGUUGGAUGGGGGAUGUGGGCAAGCAGUUUAUGGAAAGGCGAAGGACAGUGUUUUGGACUGUAAGUGUGUUUGAUUGCAUUGCUCUGAUGCUUGAGAAGAUUGGUACGAUUGAUUUUGCUAGGGAGAUAUUAGAAAAGGCCAAGACCAUUACAAAGUUCAUUCAUGGCCACACAACGGUCUUGAAACUCUUUGGAGAUUUUACUGGCAAGCGGAACCUUAUCAAGCCCUCUAAGUUGAGAUCAGCAAUGCCUUUCUUGACUUUAGAAAAUAUUGUGGCGGAAAAGAAAAACCUUAAGGCCAUGUUUGCCUCAUUUGAGUGGAAUAGAACUAAAUGGGCUUCAAGAACAGAGGGGAAGAGGAUAGUUAAUUUAGUGGAGGAUCGUUCUUUUUGGAGCACAGCCAGGAUGGUCCUAAAGGCAACUAUACCCCUUGUGCGUGUUCUGUGUUUGAUCAAUGGGGCUUAUAAACCACAAGUGGGUUACAUCUAUGAAACCAUGGAUCAAGCAAAGGAGACAAUUAAAGAGGAAUUUAAGAACAAGAAAACCCAAUAUUGGCCAAUUUGGGAAAUUAUUGAUGACAAAACGCUAUUUCCGCAUAUUAUUAUUAUCAGAUUGUGUCUAAUGUCAGAUAUUGCCGACCACCUACAAUGCCACACAGAGAACCGCUACAAAUUCCUGUAACUUCCUUCCUGUACUAAAAUUAAAGGAGUACCCCAUCCUCUGCAGUAAAUACAUAGUCCUACUUACGGUUCCUUGUUACUUCCUUUGCUUUUUCAUCUGCAGUAAAUAAGAUAAAGGUGUCUCCCACAGUUGAAGACGGACCCUUGUUGCCAAAGAAUAGUAAUAAAAAAUAAACCACUUUCAUCUUGUACUGAAGUCUAUACUUAAGCUUCUAUAAGUAAUUUAAAAAAGCAUUUACCAUUUUAAACAUCAUAAUGAUACAAUUAUCUUAGUUUUAUCAGUAUAUAAGAAUUACUUAUAGAAUAGUAAUAUAUGUUUAUAUUUAAAUUAGUACAAUUUUAUAUUGAUAAUAAUAAUAAUUUUCAAUUGAAAGUGAAACCUUUAGACAUUUACCUAAUGAAGUUAGUUAAUCGGGAGGGUUGGAAAAAAAAAAAGUUGACGCAAGUCAAUACACAAUAAUUAAUUAAAUCCGGAGUGACUAAAACAGAGCCACUACUUUUUCAAAAAUAUCUGCAUUCAUCACUUUCUCCAGCAGCUAGUCAGCUACACACGAAUCAAUUUCUCUCCUCGUUUGUUGUCAUCCAAAAUUGUUCACCAAUACCAUGGCUGAUGCAAUCGUUUCCACUAUCUUGGAGCAGCUGAUUUCCUUCGCUGCUGAAGAGAUAAAACAACAGGUGAUCGAAGUUACACCCCUCAUAUUACAAAUACUUCCAAUGAUUUUAAUUGGUUUUGUUUUUAUCAAAAACAUUAUAUAUUUUUGCUUUUUUUUAUUUAUCUGAUAAUUUUAUAUUUUGAAAUUUGAAUUGAAUUUAAUUAAAAGGUGAUGUAGUGACCACUUAUUUUUAUUUUAUUUCAUUUAUAUUCUCAAUAACUACUCAUAUUUUGGUAACUUACUAUAACUUCCAUAUCUAAGAAAUGAUCCAAACCCACAAUUUUAAUGAUAAGAUUGGUUGAAUUAAAUAUCACUUGGCCCACAUGAUUUGUUUUAAUUAUUUUAUAUUUUCAUUCAACCAAUGAAUUAGUGCCACGUCAGUUUGUACAAAAUAAGUUUGUACAAUAGUUUGUGGUUGUAUCAUUACUCUUUAGUAAAGAGUAAUGAUAUAGCCACAAACUCUUGUACAAACUUAUUUUGUACAAACUUAUGUGGCAUGAUAAGAUUGGUUGAAUUAAAUAUCACUUGGCCCACAUGAUUUGUUUUAAUUAUUUUAUAUUUUCAUUCAACCAAUGAAUUAGUGCCACGUCAGUUUGUACAAAAUAAGUUUGUACAAUAGUUUGUGGCUGUAUCAUUACUCUUUAGUAAAACCUCAACUCAUCACUGAAUCCCAUAGCUAUUACUUAGACUCUAUGAAAAAUUUCAUAGUUUUCUUACAUUCUUUCAGUUUGGUAAGUGAUUUCAUAUAAUUUCUUUUCAAGUUAAAUUUUAAUUUGGUUUCUGAUAUAGUCUCUUUGCCGAAUUGUAUCUUUUAUGAUUCUUGGAUUUUGGGCUCCAACUUUUUAGGAUUUGAUAGUCACAUUUUAUGCCAUGCUCAGAUUGAUUUUCAUGAUUUUUAGUACCCGUUAAGUGACGUACAAUUUGACAAAAGUUUGAAAGGAAAUAUGUUUCAGAAUUCUGUUUUAAUUGACCUUUUAGUGGAAAUAGGAUGCUUAUAACUUAAUGUGGAUGGUUCGUAAAAUCAUGAAAUUUGGAUAGGAUUCACUAGCAAUAUGUACAAGACUCUCCAUAAAGUUUCAUAAUUUUUCAUUCGGUCUGGGGUGGUACAGGUGAAACUUGUGGUUGGUGUUGAAAAAGAAGUGAAAAGCCUUACCAGCCAUCUUCAAGCCAUUCAAGUUGUGCUCGAUGAUGCAGAGGAAAAGCAAGUGAAGGAAAAAGCUGUUAGUCUUUGGCUGGGUAGGCUCAAGUAUGCAUCCUACAACAUUGAAGAUGUGUUGGAUGAGUGGAUAACAACAAGACGCAAAUUGCAAAUUGAGGGUGGCGUUGAUGAAAAUGCUCUUGUUGUUCCUCAUAAGAAAAAGAAGGUAUGUCUCUGCUUUCCCAGCUCUUGUUUUGGAUUCAAACAAGAAGAAUUUGGUUUCAAACAAGUCUUUCUCCGCCAUGACAUUGCCGACAAGAUCAAAGAAAUCAAUGAAGAGCUCCAUGAUAUUGCCGCUCAAAAAGACAUGUUUGAUCUUGUUAAGAGUGGCAAUAAAAGUAGUGAAAGACCAAGGCGUGUACAGAGUACCUCCUUGAUUGAUGAGGAAGAGAUUUGUGGCAGAGUUGGUGAGAGGAAUGAACUCUUAAGCAAGCUGUUGUGUGAGGGUAGCGAGCAACAAAAAGGCCUUCAUAUCAUCUCAAUCGUUGGUAUGGGAGGCAUAGGGAAAACAACUCUUGCACAACUAGCUUGUAAUCAUGACGAGGUGAAGAGAAAGUUCGACAAAAUUCUGUGGGUGUGUGUAUCAGAAACUUUUGAGGAGUUUAGGGUUGCCAAAGCGAUCGUUGAAGUUUUGGAUGGUCGUGAAUCUCAUUUAGCUGAAUUCCAUUCUCUUCUUCAACAUAUUUAUGAAUCCAUUGCAGGGAAGAGCUUUCUUCUUGUCUUAGAUGACGUGUGGGAUGGAAAUUACUUGAAAUGGGAACCAUUCUACCGUUGUCUAAAGAAUGGUCUCCAUGGAAGUAAAAUUUUAGUUACCACACGUAAAGGGUCAGUUGCAUCCAUGAUGGGAUCCAUAGAUAUUAUCUCCGUUAAGGAGUUAGCUGAAGAGGAAUGUUGGUUGUUGUUUAACAAGAUAGCAUUUUUUGAUCGGUCCAUCGAGGAACGUGAAAAAUUAGAACAAAUUGGGCAAAGAAUUGGAGGCAAGUGCAAAGGUUUACCUCUUGCAGCAAAGACAAUAGGGAGUCUCAUGUGUUCUAAACAAACUGAAGAAGAGUGGAAAAGAAUUUUAAAUAGUGAUUUAUGGAAAGUAGAAGAGAUUGAGAAAGAUGUUUUGUCCUCUUUAUUGUUGAGUUAUAAUGAUUUGCCAUCUAGAGUAAAAAGAUGUUUUUCAUAUUGUGAUGUCUUUCCAAAAGACUACAAUAUAGAAAAAGACAAACUAAUCACGUUAUGGAUGGCUCAAGGUUAUCUUAGUGCAGAAGAAGAUGAAGAGAUGGAGACAGUAGGUGAAGAGUAGUUUGGCAUCUUAGCUUCUCGCUCAUUUUUUCAAGAGUUUAAGAAAAGUUAUGAUAAUCGGAUUAUAGAGUGUAAGAUGCAUGAUAUGGUACAUGAUUUUGCCCGAUUUGUAAGUCAAAAUGAAUGUUUUUCGAUGGCAAUUAAUGGUAGUGAAGAACCAAACGCCACAAACUCUCUUGAUGAGAAGGUCCGUCAUUUAAUGUUAAUCUUUAGUAUAGAGGCUUCAUUACCUGUUUCCACUUGUAGAGUUAAAAGAAUUCGUAGCCUCUUAAUUAACGAUAGUAGAUCUGAUCAUUCAUUAUUAAAUGGUGAGAUCUUAGAAGAAUUAUUUAGGGAAUUGACAAGUUUAAGGGCAUUAGAUUUUUGCAAAUCGUAUAACGCAAGUUGGUCUUCGACUCUGGAGAUUCCGAGAAACAUAGAAAAGCUGGUACAUUUAAGAUACCUUAAUUUGUCUUAUCAGGGAAUAAAGAAACUACCGGAGACAUUAUGCGAGUUGUAUAAUCUAGAAAAGUUAGAUAUUAGUUAUUGUUAUAAGCUAGAAGAAUUACCUGAAGGGAUUGGGAAGUUAAUAAACAUGAAGCAUUUACGAAAUAGAGGUACUAGUUCUUUAAGGUACAUGCCAGUAGGGAUUGGGAGAUUAACGGGUCUUAGGACCUUGGGUGAGUUCCACGUGAGUGCAGGAGGAGGUGUUGAUGGUAGGAAAGCAUGUAGGCUUGAAUCUCUUAAAAACUUGGAACACCUUCAAGUAUGUGGUAUAUGUAGACUGGGUGAUGUAUCAGAUGUGGGCGAGGCUAAGCGAUUAGAACUUGACAAAAAGAAAUACCUCUUCAGUUUGACCCUUGAGUUUGAUAAGACGUAAAGAGGAGGAGAAAGGAGGAAGAACGAGGACGAUCAACUUCUUCUUGAAGCCUUGCGACCACCCCUGGAUUUAAAGGAAUUAGAGAUACGGUACUACCGAGGCAACACUGUUUUCUUCCAUGUUGGAAUUGGAGGAGUGGGAUUAUGGGAUUACAAGAACGGGAAACACCGUCAUCAACAUCAUGCCACGUCUUUCUUCCUUGGAAAUUGUUGCCUGCCCCAACUUAAAGGCGCUGCCCGACCACAUUCAUCAAACGACAACAUUGAAGGAAUUGCGCAUUGUGCAUUGUGGGCUUCUGGAAGAACGUUACCGCACGGGGGAAGGAGAAGAGUGGCCUAAGAUAUCACACAUUCCCAGCAUAGAUAUUGAUUAAGAAGGAGAAGAGUGACCUAAGAUAUCUCACAUUCCCAACCUUGAGAUUUGGCCUUGACAAGUAAUUCCUUCUCUCACUCUGAUUUGCUUUGUUGUUCUUUUUAAUCUAAUCAAGAAGCAUAAAUAGCAUUUUGAAUUAAACUCUAUAUCAGAAAUCUGCAAUACAUAUUUACUAAUAUUCUGAUUUUCAUAUCUUAUGAAUGUACGAUUCUAAUUUGCGAUAUUUAACGUUGCUGUAAAAUAUUAUUAAUGCAAUAUGAGAAAUUCUUUUGCAGGACAAGUGACCUACGUUUAGUUUGGCUUUGGAGUUGAGUAAUAACCUUUCGAGGUCGCCACUAUAAAAACGCGAAGCUCCAUUUGCCACAGAUUACAUGUAUUGCCAUCAUUGACAAUUUUCUGGAUAAGUGAUGAAGGGUGAGAAUGGUGCUAGAAUAUUGAAUAAAGCUGUCGUGACUGAACUUACGUUGAUGUCAAAAGGGGUAAAUUAUUGGCAUGCCUAGCUAAUUUGACCAAUACCUGAUUCAUAAGCCUACAUCAAUUUUGAUUUUGAGUUGAGUGAUUAAUUUUGAAGGUUUGCUUACUUAACUGGUAACCAAUUUCUUUUAACUAAAUGUAUCAUAUGAUGCAGGAAGCAGGGCAGGAUAUGAAAUGAGAAGCUUAUUAGUGGAAGGAUUAUCAGAAACAGAACCCAAAGAAAAUGAAAACAUUUCAAGGCAGCAGUUGGCAGUUGGCCGUGAAUGGAGCCCCUUGAAAAAAUUCCCAACCCAUUGCACUGCAAUUACGAUCGUGAGUAUGAUUGCACUGCAAUUUCGAAGCUUCUUCUCCUGCAUUUUUGUUAUUUGCUAUCAUCCUCUGCUUCAGGUGAUUUCUUCUCCUGCUCUGUCGUUGUUUGUAUCUCAAUCAAAUUCUAUAACUGGAAUAUGCAAAAGUUUCGAAUUUUUAUUUCUAUCUGCUUGCAUUGAUAACAUCGCGGCAUAUGCACUAGUUAAAGAUCAAACAGAAACAGAGCUCAGGAAAAAGUUUCUUCUGCCAUCAUAUUUGAAAAUUCAUGUAAAAUGUAGACAGUAAUCAGCAAAAAGGUGAUUCGCAAUUUGAUUUUUUUUAUGAAAUUAAUUGUUAGGUUGGAGUUGCCAAUUAACAAUUUUAACCCCCUUUGACUUUGAAGGAAUUAGAGAUAUGGUCAUACAGAGGCAACACUGUUUCUGCAAGUAGUCCUCUCUUUUCUUUUUAUUAUAUUUUAUUUAGUUAUUAUUUAUUAUUUAUUUUUUGGUUUACUCUGCUUCUUCUUUUUACGUUUCUCAAAUUUUGAAUUUCAUUGCUUUUGAACAUACGACAGUCUGUUAUGUGGCGACCCUGGUUCUUAAUUAAGGUUGUGAAAUAUUAUUGUAAAAGAUGAUUUAUUCAAUUUGAGUAAUUCGUUUGCUUUGAUAAUGAUAGUAAUUUUUUAUUUUGACAAUUUGCAAGGUGAGAAUGGUGCUGAUUGGUGAUUCAGGAUAUGGUUCAAACACCAUUGAAUAAAGCUAUGGACAUGGUGGCUCAACUUAGCUAGAUUGCUAUCAAAAUUGGUAAGUUGGCUUGUCAAUGUACCGAUGCUUUUGUUUUCUCUCAACCCUAAUUACCUUAACUUCAUUUAGUUUGGCUUUGGAGUUGAGUAAUAACUUAUUGUUCAAAUGUUAUUUCCUUAUUGUUCUAAUUCAUCAAAUGUUAUUUCCUUGUUGUUCCAUUGAUAUAUUGGUUGCAUAUCAAGCAGAAACAGAAUCCAAAGAAAAUGAAACCAUUUCCAGGCAGCAGUUGGCAGUGAAUUCAUGCAAAUGUUGAUGCCAUUCAUAGAUGUUGAAGACAAUGUUGAGCCAAAGGCGAUAAAUCAUUAAUGCAUAAUUCCCAAAACCUCUAUCCUUCUCUCAUUGUAAUUUGAUUUGAAAUGAAUAAUUGCUAGGUAAUUGAAGCCAAUGUUGUUAAAGACCGUGUUGAGCUACCCAAGCUAAGAAGUUAGUUGCCAAAAAAUGCAGGGGAUCAAAAGAAGCAUUGCAUUUGAAAAGGCAUGAGAUUCUGGUGGCUACAUGUCAACUCAUAUAUGUUUGAAUAAGUUUGAUGGUUCAAGAUUGUUAGCUUCUGUUUAAAUUUGUGCUACUGCAGUGCUACAAUGCUGCUACUGGGAAAUUUGAAUCCCAUAUUAGACUUUCCUCACAUCAGAAGCUGUGGAUCUUCGGACAUCAGGUUUUUUCACAGUUCUGAAACACUCAGGAUUAAACUCUAUUAAAGUGUUGUAGUUAUCUUGUUGUCAGAAUUCCCAUAUUAUUAUCUUUUUCAUGUAAAAUUAUCUUGUUGUCUUCGCCCAUGAAUCUAAGCUAAAAUUUGAACCAAUUGUUUGCUAUUAUAAAUUUCGUUGUUAAAUGUUAAUUGUGAUGUUGGUGUUGAGUUUCUUUUAAAGUCAGAGAAGCCUGACGAUUGAGUUCCAUGGGAUUCUGAGAAGCAGUAAUAUUUUGAACAAGUGAAGGUUCUUCGUUUUUAAUUACGUUCUGCACUUUUACAGUAUGUGCAGAUGUCUAAGAGGCAGGAUUUUAAUUUCUGUAAUGCUAAAUUUCGCAAAACAAUAAAUAAAUAAAUGCAUGACAGUGACUUCAAGAAUUUAGAUUAUUGAAUUUGGUCAUUUUAAAAUUGUUGGAAUAUUGAACUUAAGUAAUUUUGAUAAACCAGAGCUCAGAAAUGUAGAAUAUAAAUAUUGGAGAUUUGGACUUCAAUCAUUAGAUUUGAAGCUAAAGAGGUAAGCCAUUAAUUACAUCAAAGGAUUUGGAAAAUGGAGGGAUUGGAAAAAGGAAACUUUUUCAUAAACUACAAGCAUUGGGCAGUUUCAUUUGUCCGAUUCAAGAGGAACGUCACAGAAAGGGGUAAAGAAAAGAGUAGCCUAAGAUAUUUAAGACAAUGUUGAGCCAAAGGAAACAUAAAUCCCAACCAUUGCAUGCGAACAUGAUCACAAUAAGGUCAAGAACCUACCAAACCAUUUUUUUGAGAAUUUUCAAUUGAAAGUGAAACCUUUGGACAUUUACCUAGUAAAGUUAGUUAAACGAGAGAAAUAAAGGGGAAAAGAAAAGUUGACUCAAGUCAAUACAGAAUAAUUAGUUCAAUCUGGAGUAACUAAAACAGAGCCACUAUAUUUUCAAAAAUAUCUGCAUUCAUCACCUUCUCCUACAGCUAGUGAGCUAAACACGAAUCAUUUCCUUUUAGCAUUUUUGCAGCAUCAACUUCUCUCCUCGUUUGUCAUCCAAAAUUAUUCACCAAUACCAUGGCUGAUGCAAUCGUUUCCCUUCUCUUGGAGCAGCUGAUUAUCUUUGCUGCUGAAGAGUCGAAACAACAGGGGAAGCUGGUGAGUGUUGGAUGAGUGGAUCACAGCAUGCGCCAAAUCGCAAAUUGAUCAAUGCUCUUGUUGCUCCUUAUCUGAAGAAGAAGGUGCAAAUUGAGAGCUGCAUUGCACUGUCAUAACAUUUAUUGUAAUUUCAUUUGGAGAUUUUAUGGAUAAUGAUUUGGUAGACUUUAUAUGCCGUCUUCUUUCUUUUUGCAGUGAUAUGUUUGUAUUCAAUGUGCUUGUGCUUAUUCUGUGGUUUUUAAAGUAGGUGUUUUUAUGAUAAACUAGGUCUUGUGUAUUGUAUGUACUAUCUAGAGAAGAAUAUUGACUGGUUGCAGUCGAAAUUGGAACCACUUUUGAAAGGUAAGAAGAGGCCAUUUUCCUUCAUUCUAAUGCCAAUAAUGCUGUCAUGAGACUCAUAAAAAAUGUUAAAACAUUAAUGUUUUUGGUAUUUUGCAGAUCAUUAUCUUCUGUUUGAUUUUCCUGGCCAAGUUGAAUUAUUUUUUCUUCAUUCCAAUGCCAAGAAUGUUAUCAUGAGACUCAUAAAGAAGUUAAAUCUCAGGGUAUUGUUACAUCUUGCAUCUAUGAAGGGACUCAAAGAGUUGACAUGAAUUCAUCUUUGUUAUUUUGAUGCCAGAAUUGUGCAAUUCUCAGUUGGUUCCUUUCACAUGCAGUUGACUGCAGUGCAUCUAGUUGAUGCGCAUCUUUGCAGUGACACUGGAAAGUAUGUUAGUGCUUUGCUUCUCUCGUUGUCUACGAUGCUACAUCUGGAACUUCCCCACGUCAAUGUCUUGUCUAAGAUCGACUUGAUUGAGAAUUAUGGAAAGCUAGGUGUGGUUUUAAGUGUCUCCCUCCUACUUGUUUGUUUAGUUUGAAAUAUCAGAUAUUAUCACGAGCUCCUAUCUGCUACGUUUCCUCACCAAUCAAUUACUUUGGGUAUGUUGCAGCUUUUAAUCUCGAGUACUAUACGGAUGUGCAAGAUUUGUCAUAUUUACAGCAUGCUCUGGGUCAGGACCCUCGUUCUGCUAAGUACAGGUUUGAAUUCUAGCUGAAUCAAUGAUGCAAAUUAUGUCCAUUGCUAUUUUUGACUGUCGUUUCUAUCAUUUUCAAUUGUUACCUCCCCUUGCCAUCUACUGCCACACUGCAAUGCCUACACAAAUGUUAUGAAAUUUGUCAAUGGCAAUGCCAUCCUGUUUGUCCAGAGACAGCUCUUAGAUGCAAGUGAACAAUUUUUGGCUUUGGCCGUUGUACAGCCUUAGAUUUCAACUUGCCAUAUCUUGUCUCGGAAGUCAAAAGAAAGCGUAUAUGUUAGCCAAAUUUUAUUUGAAUUUAUUGAGUAACAAUGAAUGGUUCGGAAAAACAGUUCCUCUUUUGUUUUGAUCAGACUCAAUGAAUAAGUGUUUAAAAUGUGCCUGUCCUAGAAAUAUAGAUGUGUGGUUUCGCAAAAUUUUCUUGAUCUUAAGAAAGAGUUAUCUUGAAAAGAAGAUAACAUGGAGAAUUCAGCAACUAUACAGUCAUAUUGCGUCUGUCAACUUGGGUCAGAUGGUGUCGUUUGGAUGGAGAUGUUAGGUCCCAGAUGGUAUGCUUGUUAUCAAAUUCCAGUCUAAUUCAUUCAUGCUUUGAUGACAUAUGCGGUGCAGCUUCUUAUCUAAGACCUGCAUAUGUUCAGUCAUCAUUCAGUUCUGUAUUUGGCUGUCAUUCUUUCAAUGAAUUCAAACCACUUUCUGAAUACUUGCAAAUUCAUCCAGUGUUGUCAUUGAGAUUCCAAUAUGUAAAGGAGCAAUAGUUGCCCUUGAUAGUAUGCUUAUUGAUUGCCUCUUGCCUCACUCAGCCUAAGGAGUCUGGUUGUAUGGUGUUCUUGUAAUUUCAUUUGGAGAUAAGUAAUAUCUGUUGUUCAAAUGUAUUUUAUAUACAAGCAGUUAAUAAUUCUGCUUGCAGAAAGCUUACAAAGGAGCUGUGUGAUGUAAUAGAAGACUACAGUCUGGUCAAUUUUUCAACCUUAGAUAUUCAGGUCAUCAGUUUCUCUUGAAUUCUUUCUUGAGUUUCUUUGAAUUAUUUGUGAAUAAGAUCUUAGUUGGCUGCUCCUCUUCAGGAUAAGGAAAGUUUGGCAAAACUCGUGAAGCUGAUAGAUAAAAGCAAUGGGUACAUCUUUGCUGGCAUGGAUGCCAGGGCAGUUGAAUUCAGCAAGAUUGCCGUUCGCGAUGUGGAUUGGGAUUAUUACAGGUAUCCUUCUUUUCACCUAUUUUCAAUCUUGUGAUUCUCAUAUUCAUAAAACUUUCAUGGUUCAUUGUAUGCAUCUGCAUCUUCUAAUUUGUACGUUUGAGAGACUAAUUUUGCUGUUAGGUAGGCGUCAAAUUUGAUUCAUGCGUUUUUCAUAAAUUUACCAAAAUCAUGGAAACUUCUUUUUCCCAGAUAUUGUAUCCACACUUUUCCCAUGUAAUUCAGUCAGACAAGUUCUGCUUAACAAAGAUAUCUACAGUAGCUGAAGUGCAGGAAAAGUACAUUAAGGAUGAUGACGAUGUUAACUAAAAUGGGACACGAAGAUAUGUGGUGUGCAAACCGUAAGCAUGCCUCUUACUUUUGUGCAUGUUUACUUGCUUGUGAUUCAUGUUUGUUAAUCUAUUAUGCUCUUUUGUUGGGUUUAUAAAGUUUUCAAUCAAUCAAACAUUUGACUGAUUCAGACAGGACAAGCGGGGAAGAGGUGGUUUUAAUCAAACCACUACUAAUUAUGAUGUAUCUCGGACCUUUGUACAAUAUCAAGCGAUUUUUUUAGUUGAAUCAGCUGGUGUACACAAAUGUCGUUUAUUGAUUUUUCUCUAGUAUAGUUCGUAAUUUUGGUAACACAUCUACUCUAGUAUCGUUUGUAAUUACAAGAAACAAAGUAAUGAAAUUUAUCACUGCAUUCAUAGUUAUGCUUAAGCUCAAAGAUCACUGUGAAUAUCAUUUUGGGGCCUCUAUUUGUUCUAUAACAUGAUGUUGACACGUGUCAAAUUUUGAAGCUUGUGAUUAAAAUACUAUUCACAUAUAUAUUUUAAGUACCACUAAUAAUUAAAUAUAUUAAUAAAUAUGGGCAAUGGGGAUAAAAUAAAAUGGUUUUAUUUUUUGAAUUACUCAACUGCUUCAAACUUCUAAGAAGUAGAUUUACGAUGAGUGGAAUCUUAAAUUGAGUACGAGUUAGGGAUAACUUAUAAAAUUGGGAUACAAGCUUCAAAGAAAGUGUAUUACUAUUCAUAUGUAGAUUUCGAAUUAAGAAGAUAUGCCAGCUAAUUGUAUAAGAAUGUAAAAAUUGAUCACAGGCAUAAUCGCAAAUGAUGAAAUGAGCUACCUUGAUCAAAAGGUCAAGAACCUACCUUACUUCUCUUAGGGAUAAGUUGCAUCAACCGUUGUGAUAUUGAUAUUUAUCUUGAGCCAGUAAAAGUGAAAGCUUCCCAAUUGAAGGAAAGUGAAGAGAAGAUUCUAUGCUCUAAUUAUUAUUAUUAUUAUUAUUUGUUAGAAUGAAGUGCGAAGUGAGCACAUCAUGCAAGCUCAGCAGAUGUGAUAAGGUGACUUGUAACUCAGCUGGCACAAGAGACAAAGUGUAGUGGAGAAAAGUUUCCCAAUUGAUGGAAAGUGAAGGGAAGAUUCUAUGCUCUAAUUAUUAUUAUUUGACAAUGAAUUGGCAAAUAAAAACAAAAUAGCAGGCCUGUAAAGUAAUGAAGUGGAGACAAUGACCAUGUGAUUGAUUGGUAAAUAAAAACAAAAGAGCAAGCCUGUAAAGUAAUAUAAAUUAUAGUGUAUAUUCAAGUUAAAGUAAUGGAAACAGUGUGCAUCCACAAAAAAUUCUUUUAUCUCUCGUUGUCUUAUUCUUUUCUUUAUUUACGUUUUCCAGAAGUAAAGCCAUACAUGUGAUGAAGCAUAGAUAAGAAAGCUAUCGCCCGAAAUUCAUUUUGCACAAACACUUCAAUAUCCUUUUGAUCACUUUUGCAAACAUCAAUUUGUCUCCUAUUGUAUUCACCAUGGCUGAUGCAAUCGUUUCCACUAUCUUGGAGCAGCUGAUUUCCUUCGCUGCUGAAGAGAUAAAACAACAGGUGAUCGAAGUUACACCCCUCCUAUUACAAAUACUUCCAAUGAUUUUAAUUGGUUUUGUUUUUAUCAAAAACAUUAUAUAUUUUUGCUUUAUUUUAUUUAUCUGAUAGUUUUAUAUUUUGAAAUUUGAAUUGAAAUCAUGAAAUUUGGAUAGGAUUCACUAGAAAUAUGUACAAGACUCUCCAUAAAGUUUCAUAAUUUUCAUUCGGUAUGGGGUGGUGCAGGUGAAACUUGUGGUUGGUGUUGAAGAAGAAGUGAAAAGCCUUACCAGCCACCUUGAAGCCAUUCAAGUUGUGCUCGAUGAUGCAGAGGAAAAGCAAGUGAAGGAAAAAGCUGUUAGUCUUUGGCUGGGUAGGCUCAAGUAUGCAUCCUACGACAUUGAAGAUGUGUUGGAUGAGUGGAUCACAGCAAGACGCAAAUUGCAAAUUGAGGAUGGCGUUGAUGAAAAUGCUCUUGUUGUUCCUCAUAAGAAAAAGAAGGUAUGUCUCUGCUUUCCCGGCUCUUGUUUUGGAUUCAAACAAGAAGAAUUUGGUUUCAAACAAGUCUUUUUCCGUCAUGACAUUGCCAACAAGAUCAAAGAAAUGAAUGAAGAGCUACAUGAUAUUGCCACUCAGAAAGACAUGUUUAAUCUUGUUAAGAGUGGCAAUAAAAGUAGUGAAAGACCAAGGCGUGUACAGAGUACCUCCUUGAUUGAUGAGGAAGAGAUUUGUGGUAGAGUUGGUGAGAAGAAUGAACUCUUAAGCAAGCUGUUGUGUGAGAGUAGCGAGCAACAAAAAGGCCUCCAUAUCAUCUCAAUUGUUGGUAUGGGAGGCAUAGGGAAAACUACUCUUGCACAACUAGCUUGUAAUCAUGACGAGGUGAAGAGAAAGUUUGACAAAAUUCUGUGGGUGUGUGUAUCAGAAACUUUUGAGGAGUUUAGGGUAGCCAAAGCGAUCGUUGAAGCUUUGGAUGGUCGUGAAUCUCAUUUAGGUGAAUUCCAAUCUCUUCUUAAACAUAUUUAUGAAUCAAUUGCAGGGAAGAGCUUUCUUCUUGUCUUAGAUGACGUGUGGGAUGGAAAUUACUUGAAAUGGGAACCAUUCUACCGUUGUCUAAAGAAUGGUCUCCAUGGAAGUAAAAUUUUAGUUACUACACGUAAAGGGUCAGCCGCAUCCAUGAUGGGAUCCACAGAUAUUAUCUCCGUUAAGGAGUUAGCUGAAGAAGAAUGUUGGUUGUUGUUUAACAAGAUAGCAUUUUUUGAUCGGUCCAUCGAGGAACGUGAAAAAUUAGAACAAAUUGGGCAAAGAAUUGCAGGCAAGUGCAAAGGUUUACCUCUUGCAGCAAAGACAAUCGGGAGUCUCAUGCGUUCUAAACAAACUGAAGAAGAGUGGAAAAGAAUUUUAAAUAGUGAUUUAUGGAAAGUAGAAGAGAUUGAGAAAGAUGUUUUGUCCUCUUUAUUGUUGAGUUAUAAUGAUUUGCCAUCUAGAGUAAAAAGAUGUUUUUCAUAUUGUGCUGUCUUUCCAAAAGACUACGAUAUAAAAAAAGACAAACUAAUCACAUUAUGGAUGGCUCAAGGUUAUCUUAGUGUAGAACAAGACGAAGAGAUAGAGACAAUAGGUGAAGAGUAUUUUGGCAUCUUAGCUUCUCGCUCGUUUUUUCAAGAGUUUAAGAAAAGUUAUGAUAAUCGGAUUAUAGCGUGUAAGAUGCAUGAUAUGGUACAUGAUUUUGCCCGAUUUGUAAGUCAAAAUGAAUGUUUUUCGAUGGAAAUUAACGGUAGUGAGGAACCAAACGCCACAAACUCUCUUGAUGAGAAGGUCCGUCAUUUAAUGUUAAUCUUUAGUAAAGGGGCUUCAUUACCUGCUUCCACUCGUAGAGUUAAAAGAAUGCGUACCCUCUUAAUUAACUAUAGUAGAUCUGAAUCAUCUGAUCAUUCAUUAUUAAAUGGUGAGAUCCUAGAAGAAUUAUUUAGGGAAUUGAAAAGUUUAAGGGCAUUAGAUUUUGGCGGAUCGUACGACACACAUUUUUCUUUGACUCUGGAGAUUCCAAGAAACAUAGAAAAGCUGGUACAUUUAAGAUACCUUAAUUUGUCUCUUCAGAAAAUAGUGGAGCUACCGGAGACAUUAUGCGAGUUGUAUAAUCUAGAAAAGUUAGAUAUUAGUUAUUGUUAUAAGCUAGAAGAAUUACCUGAAGGGAUUGGGAAGUUAAUAAACAUGAAGCAUUUACUAAAUAAAAAUACUAGUUCUUUAACGUACAUGCCAGUAGGGAUUGGGAGAUUAACGGGUCUUAGGACCUUGGGUGAGUUCCACGUGAGUGCAGGAGGAGGUGUUGAUGGUAGGAAAGCAUGUAGGCUUGAAUCUCUUAAAAACUUGGAACGCCUUCAAGUAUGUGGUAUACGUAGACUGGGUGAUGUAUCAGAUGUGGGCGAGGCUAAGCGAUUAGAACUUGACAAAAAGAAAUACCUCUCUUGUUUGACCCUUGAGUUUGAUAAGAAGGAAAGAGGAGGAGAAAGGAGGAAGAACGAGGACGAUCAACUUCUUCUUGAAGCUCUACAACCACCUCUGGAUUUAAAGGAAUUAGAGAUAUGGUACUACCGAGGCAACACUGCUUUCCCUAGCUGGAUGACGUCAUUAACCAACUUAAAAAGUUUAGAUCUCUCUUUGUGCGAAAAUUGCGAGCAGCUGCCUCCUUUGGGAAAAUUGCAGUCCCUUGAAAAUCUCCACAUAUGGCGCAUGGCGAGUGUGAAGAGAGUGGGUGAUGAAUUUUUGGGGAUAGAAAGUGAUCAUCAUGACUCAUCUUCUUCUUCAUCAGUUAUUAUUGCCUUCCCCAAAUUGAAAUCACUUUCAAUUAACGAAAUGGAGGAAUUAGAGGAGUGGGAUUAUGGGAUUACAAGAACGGGAAACACCGUCAUCGACAUCAUGCCACGUCUUUCAUCCUUAACAAUAAUUCUUAGCCACAAAUUAAAGGCACUGCCCGACUACAUUCAUCAAACGACAACAUUGAAGGAAUUGCACAUUUUGGGGUGUGACCUUCUGGAAGAACGUUACCGCAAGGGGGAAGGAGAAGACUGGCCUAAGAUAUCUCACAUUCCCAACUUCGAGAUUUGGCGUUGACAAGUAAUUUCUUCUCUCACUCUGAUUUGAAUCAAACUCUAUAUCAGAAAUCUGCAAUACUUACUUUCUAAUAUUCUGAUUUUCAUAUCCUAUGAAUAUACGAUUUUUAAUUUGUGAGAUGGGUAACGUUACUGUAAAAGAUUAUUAAUGCAAUAUGAGUAAUUCUUUUGCAGAACAAGUGACCUACAUUUAGUUUGGCUUUGGAGUUGAAUAAUAACCUUUCAAGGUCCCGACAACCAAAAAACGAAGCUUAAUUUGCCACAGAUGGCACGUAUUGCCAUUAUUGACAAUUUUCUGCACAAGCUUAGGUUGAUGUCAAAACAGGUAAAUUACUGGCAUGCCUGACUAUUUUGACCAUUACAUGAUUCAUAAGUUUACAUUAAUUUUGAUUUUGAGUUGAGUGAUUAAUUUUCUAGGUUUGCUUACUUUAACUGGGUGACCAAUUUCUUGUAACUAAAUGUAUGAUGUGAUGCAGGAAGCAGGGCAGGGCAUGAAGAGAGAAGCUUAUUAGAGGAAGGAUUGCCAGUAACAGAAUCCAAAGAAAAAAGAAACCAUUUCGAGGCAGCAGUUGGCAGUUGGCAGUGAAUGGAGCCCCUUGAAAAAUUCCCCAAGCCGUUGCACUGCAAUUACGAUCAUCCUCGGCCUCAGGUAAUUUCUUCUCCUGCAUUUUUGUUAUUUGCUAUCAAGUGACUAUUUUAAGUAUGAUUGCAUUAAGCUGCUGCUGGGAAAUUUGAGGUUUUGAUGACUGCCCAUGCUAUUGUCAGAAGCUGCGGUUCUUUUCAUCAGCCUGAACCUGGACCUGCCGCUAUGGAUAACUCAGGUUUUUUUUUUUUAAUCAACAGCCAUCUUUUCCACUGUUUAGAAACUCUUAAGAUUAAACUUUAGUAAAGUUGUUUUAGUUAUCCAUGUAAUCAG